AAAUAACAAGUGACAAAUGGAAAAUAAUUAACUUUUUCUACAUUUUAAAACGACAUUUCAUUUUGACCUAUUUAUUGUUGCUUUAAAUCAUUUUUGGAGGCAGUUCUUGAUCUUCUUUUGAAAGUAGUUCUUUGAAUCUAGUUUGCUAUUUUGACCUAUGCCAAGGUUGGUUAUAAUUGCAUUCUAUAGGACUAAGAUAGGGGCCCAACUUUUCUGUGGGAUGGACAUGCUUUAAUAUCUGGCUGACUUCUAUUAGAUGGACAGUUUUCUGGUUUUCUUGUGUCUUGUCGAUGCAAAGUUUCCUUAGGAUACUUACUUUUAGCCUGGCAAUAUGUAUUGAUUUUGGAACUCGAUAGUUUAAAACAAUAGAAGUUGUAACAAAAUGUUACCACUAUUUUAUCCUCAAACAGGACAAGCAGUCUGAUGAAACACCAAAGGAACCUAGCAUAGAUGGCUUUUCCCUGUGAGUACUGAAGCGAUUGAUACGUCAGAUGCGAUGACUUGCUUGGUUAAUACUUUAAUAUGUUGGAAAGAUGUUGCUGGAACAUGGAUAUUCUGCUGAUUGCAGAUGGUUAUAAGGCGUAUUUUUAGAUAUCAAAUCCUUUUAGCAUCAAAGCUUCAUGACCUGUUUGAAGUGUACACCUUUAUGGUGGUGCACAAAGAAUGUUGGCAACUUGAUUAUUAUUAGUAGCAAUUUGAUGCCUAAACCUCAUCGAUAGGGUUCAGGCCUUGGGUUUAAGUUUACAUCAUAUUUUUGGCUGGAUUGUGACGUAAGUAGUGUCUUGUGCUGAUCCAUUUUAUUGUUGGUUGAUUACCCAUAAAGGUUUAGAAAUUGAUUGUCCUUCAUAACGAAUUAAUUUAAAGCUUUUGAACAAACUUUCCAGUUAAGAUUAGAUGUUAGCAAGUUCUACAAGCAUCCGAUAAUAUGUAAGUAAUUGACCAAUUUUGAUACCUGAAUCUCAUUCUGCUGUAUUGCAUCUUGCAUAUAUGUCCUUUAUUGUCUAUUGACUUGCAUGAUCUUAAACUUUUACUUGUCUAUCUGUACUAAUUUUUCUUUAUCUAAAUUCAUUUGUAGUUAUGUUUGAGAGUAUAUUAUUAUUGCAUUUGUUGGCAAUUUUCUGCAAGGAUAGUCUGAAUCAUUUUCACCAUUCGCUGUUAUGCUAUAUUCUUGUUUAUGCUUUGACAUAGAUGCUCUUUACUUGGUUUUGGUCAUCUGGUUUGUGAACACCAGAUCUUCUGUAUGAUACCAUUACUUUUUUAAAUUUUAUGUAUAAUGAAAUAGAGCACUAUUUUGGUAAUUCUGUGCUGCAUAUUCACUGAUAUAUUUUGUUUUCGUUGGCUCAACAGACCAACAAGGAAUCUGGUGAAUCUAGGUGGAGACCAGGCCCACAGGGGCGAGGGGGAAGGGGAGGUCGAGGAAGCUUUCCUUCCCGCUAUUUGGUUAAUGGUAUGUGCAUGCUCUUCUAAUACCAAAUCUUCCUUUUUGCAUCUAAAUAAAAAUGUAUAUACUUUGUAAGAACUAUAGCAUAUUAUAAAAUGGGUACUUGAACUUCAAAUUUUUUUUUUUUUUUUGUUUUAAUCUCACAUUUUGUAACUUACGAUCUCAGAAAUUCUGUCAAGUUCUGAUUUUUGUUAGAAAAGUUCAAGUUGUAGAUUAUUGUGCCAAGAAACAGAACUUGUCAGGAUACCCUCCUAAUAGUCUCUCUGGUACCCAUUUUUUUUGGCUGGUGUCCUCUUACAAAGAAUCCAUCGACUCCGAGGGGAAGAAGAAGCCCCCUCUUCUAACUUACCCUAAGCCACAAGCCUUGUUCUGCCAUUAGGAAGCCUGAGAGAAUAAUCUCUUUACUGAUCAACUAACUUACAUGUUACAAUAUGGUCGCCUAGGUUUUUCCUUCAAAGCCUCCUAUUGCAAUUGAGGAUCCUAAUAUGAUGAGGAAACUAAAUAGUCUUUAUCUACUAAGAAGCAUCCGGUUGGGCUCUAAGGUGAUCCUAACAAGUGUAUUCCAUCAGGGUACAGAAUAUUCUGUUAGGAAAAGUUUAAAAUAUCAUUAAGUUCUAAUAAUGCAGUAAUUAACUAAAAUCUAUUUAAGGAUAGGUGGUAAAAAUUAUAAAUUUUGAAGUCUAGUUCCCAAUUUCAAAAUGUGCUAUUGUUCAGGUAUGGUCUGUACAUUUUUACUUUGCCUUUAUUCGCAGUGUUAUCGUGCUGUGAAUAAGGGAUGCUGGUUACGCCUUCAUUAAUAGUUUGAUACAAUUUGAAUAUUCUUGUUCUUCUAUAAGAUGUUGGUGGAAGAAAUGUUUCAUCUGGAAAGGAGAACGGAGCCAAUCAAAGCACAGACAAAGGUAGUACGACUUCAACUCCCAUUGACACUGAGAUCAAACCAUCAAUUUCUAUAUCCAGGUAACUACUUUAGUCUUGAGCAGCUGUUUUGAUCGAAAUAUCAUAUUCCGUUUUAAGCUAGAUCCUGUUAAAUUUUCUUCAGCUGUAGUUUCCUGGAAGAAUGUGAUUCUGUAUUUGCUUGUGUUCAUAUACUUGUACUAUAGCAAUGUGCCUUUUCAAUUUUUAAAGAUUUAUUACAUACGGUAAAUUUAACAGCUGUUAUUGAGCUACUUGUGGUUUCAUUUUAAGAGGGGUCUAAGGCAAUUAAACACUGAUGCCAACUUUAGUGAUGCUUGGUUUACAAUAUGGUUGGUAUGAUGUUGUAAAACCCUGCGAAAGUAGUUCUUUGGUGUCUAACUUUUUGAUCGUAAACUAUAUAAUUUUUAUAAUUUACCAUUAGUAAGCUCUUGUAGUUAGCAUUUUACUCGUCCAGCAUAGUUUUUAUUUUUCCUUCUGCUGAGCAAUUUGAGGUUCAUACCAUAUUGAUCUUGUGAAUCAUAUUUCUAGUAAAACCUCAGAUACGUUAGUCAGAUGACUAAUUAUGUUUCUUUGUCUUUUAGUUUUUCUAAAUAUUUAAACAAAUAUUUAGAAAAACAUAAUAUCUAGUAAAAUCUCAGAUACGUUAGUCAGAUGACUUCUUAUGUUUCUUUGUCUAACCUAGGCAUCUUGUAGCCUCCUGUAGGGGCAUACAGGUCGACGCAAUUUCAUGGUCAGCAGUAAACAUAUUAUACUUUUUACAUGUUUAUGAAUCAAAUAUAUUCUACAUUGUGUCUUAUGUGAAAUCAUAUAGUAUUAUCUAGUUUGAUAUGUGCUCUUCUACCACCACAUUGUAUUGUGUCUGAUAAUUUAUUGUAUGAUGCAAGACUUUUUUGGAUUUAGUGUUUUAAUUCCUGUAUUUUUGAUUUAUAUAAUUAGUACAGUGAAUUUUUGCUAAAUUAGUAAUUAUACACUGCUGUUAUCAACACAUUACCGCUGCAUUCAUGGGAAGUUCUAUCAUUCUCAGGAAUAUGACUAUCUUUGCUCAAAUCAAACAUGGUUUUUUGAUAUCUUAAUGACCUUUCUCAUGGAAGUCUGUGCUUUACCUCGUUACACUUCAAAUAGUGAAGUUCUCAUAUUGGCCAGUAUUUAGAACCUCCAAAAAUGGUGUAACAUUUUAGUAAUCAUUCUAACUUUCUGAACUUGAUGAACUAUGGUCCGUUUGAAAGUUAUUUGUUAUCUUAAGUUGGUGGCAGAAAAGGAUUAAUGUGAUUGAUCAUACAUAAUUUCUUUUGGGGAGUCACAUGGGCAACAUCACCUAGUGUGAGGCAAAGGUCAAAUUGAGUUGAGUACUUGAGUUGUUCUUCUUAUAUCAUCAACUUCUUUAACAUUUCAAUUUUCAAAUUGAUGUUGUUGCAUCGUCAUGUUUCUUAUGGUCAGAGUAUUUUUUUUUAAAUUUAUUCUCUUUAGGGCCUAUUCCUACCUUAGAGCAAAUGCCUUAUUUAUUUUUUUUUUAAUCCCUAUUGUUUAUUCCUGCUUAUCGCAAUAAUAGAUGGGGUUAUAAAAUGAUUUCGAGAUUGUCAAUGCAGGUCCCAAGCAUGGAUGAAAAUGGGGGGAGUGCAAUAGGUUAAUUUCUAGUGUUAAACUCAGUCUGUUAAAGCACCAUUUUGGAUCGUACGAUAUUGAAAAGAAAGAUGGUAUAACUUGAAUUAGAAUUGAUGGAUUUUCAUUGCUUUUGCAUGUGACUUGAGGAAGAGUUAGUAAACGUAACUCAGUAUAUAAUCUCAUUUAUUUGGAGGUACAAAAGAGAACGAAAAUUCUCGUCUAUUAUUUGCCUAAUUACUUGAUUGGAUGCAUUUUACAAAACUUUUAAUGAAGUGUUAAUUUAAUUAGAGUUUAUUGGCAAAUUGUUGCGAGUAUUACAUUAUUUUAUUCUAGAGGGUAAUAUCCUUAUUCAAUAUUUCACGAACACUAUAGAAGAAAAAUUCAACAUCUAGUUUUGCGUACUUGGUUUUGUUGCAUAAUCCUUUUUCAGUUCAUCCCGUGCUUUUUGGCCUUAUUUUUCCCUAUUUUGUGAUUGUAAGUUUCAAUAAAUUGCUCACAAUGAUUCACUCUCUUAUCCUUUUUGGACAUGGCAGCAUUGUCAUUGUUCUACAAAAAAUAGGUGCAAUCAUCUUUAUUCUGCUGCUUAUUUUCUCUAAAAUUUCAUUGCUUGUGCUUCUUCAUGUUCUGAACUACAUUUCUUGUAAUUCGAGUUAGUUACUGACGGUGUUUGAAAAGGCGCGCCUCCUAGGCGCGAGGCGCGAGUCUCGGUGCCUCAAGGAGUGAGGCGGGCGCCUCAGUUGCGCCUUGUGAUAUUUAUGUUUAAUGUGUCUAGGGUUUGGGUUUUCGGAUUUUGAGUUUCUUCAAUAUAAACAAAUUUCGAAUUGAACGUUUUCUUUCCCUUUUCUCUUGGUCGUUCUCUUUUCGCCCCCAAGUGGCAAUAAGUAGUAGCGGCAAGAAGCAAGAAGCAGCAGCAAAUACUUUUAAGUUGAAAGUUGAAAUAUAAUUUUUUUAUUUUUAGGCUGAGAACAUUUAUGCAUGCGAUUUCUUUACUUUUUUAUGGUUAUUUUAUUUUUGUAUAUAGCUAUUUUAGAAUUUUUUUAACAUAAAACAUUCAUUUAAAAUAGGCUUAUUAAGAGUUUUAUUUUUAUUAUAUAUGUGUCUCACCUUCUUGAGGCGCGCGCUUCACAGUACGCCUAGCGCCUAGGCUCCAUAAGGCCUUUGCGCUUUUUACGCCUUGCGCCUUUUCAAACACUGGUUACUGGAGAACCUAGAAAAUGAGGAAAAGAGAAAAGACACGUCAGGACCACAUUUUUGGACGGAACUUAUAUUGAUUCUGGAAUAGCAAUCUAAAGGUCCAUCUAUAUAUUUAUAUAGGAUCACAGCGUCGCAUAGACUCCCAGUAUAUACUGUGAAUUUGAAAAAAAAAAAAGGUUUGCUGUUCACAUUCUUUCUAUGUAGGCACCGCUAAACUUGUACUAUUCUAUCUGGUUUUCAGCUUAGCAGGUGGCCUGGCGAAUGGUGUGGGCAAUAUAAACAAUCCAACUUCCUCUCAGGGCCAUGCACCUCAAUUGCCUGGGCUUGGUGGUUCUGUUUCGACGGAAGAAAAUAGUUCUACUUCUAAAAGCAACAAUAAGACGAGUUCCACAUCAUCAACUACCAUUGAUAACAAGAUUGGUUCUGCUGGUGGACAAUUUGCAUCAGGUCCUGGAAGUAGACCUUCUUCAUCUUCUCAUGGUCGGGCUUCUGGGAGUAGGCCCUCUUCUAGUUACAGCAGUCGGUCACAACAGCUAGGUGGUCCGCAAAAAGGUAGUUAUCUAUGUUCUUUGACCCAUUCCAUAACAUUUAUACGCCAUCUCUUGGAAGCUUUCGUGUUCUAUUAGGUGUAUAAGAGCUAAAAGUAGGUACUUUGAUAUCUUGUCUCAGUGUUUGUGUUCUGUUCUUUAUCUCUGUUUUUGUUUUAUGAUACUCAGUUAGUAUUCAUAUAUUAUGUGUCGAUAAAAGAUUAGUAGUCUAGCUGGAAAGAUAGUGUUAUCUAGUGGCUGAUCUUGGGGAACGAGAGAAUAUAAAUGCGAUGAUGAGGAAAAUGUAGAUGGAAAUUUGGAAUAACGAUGGAAAGAGUAACAAAAGGAGACAAGUGACUGUAGGAUGAAAUUAUGCAGUUAAGGUUAGAUUUGUAAAAUUGGCCUAUUUUUCUUGCCUAAAGUUAGGGUGGCGUCUAAGCAACAAAUCUCUCAGGUGCUCUCCCCCCAUAGUUUAAUGGAAGGAUUCACACAAAGAAAAUCACCAGGAUAUUGUCUUGGAAAAGGAAGAUAGAUUGGUUUGAGGACGAAAAACAUUGUUCGUCUACUGAAUUUUUCAUUCCCAGGGGGGCCAUAAGUAACAAAGAGAACUAAUAAUGUCCUGAGGAGUUGGGAAUUGUGGUACUAAGAGAUUGAUGGAAAGAACAAAUAUUUAUUCUGGAUUUGCUGUAAAUCUAAUUGAGUUAUAAAACUUGCUAAGCAAUUGAUUUAUGUUUUUGUCCUCUUUUCCUUCUCUAUUUUGCUAUCAUUGUGUGCCAGGUGCAUGCUAGCUUGUGCAAACUGUUUUUCUGUAAAAACGUUUAUUUUGGAAGAUUAUGUUAUUCCAAAAGAAAGUGGCGGUCAUGCAAAUUUUCAUGCAGGAGUUGGUCCUAACAAAGAGUGGAAACCAAAAACAACAAAUGCGAAUCCAGCUCAAGCACCUGCUACUGCUGCUGCUUCUGAUAUUCUCCCUAACCCCGCUGUAGCUGUAACUUGGUCGCUUGAGGCAUCGAGCUCCGUGACAACGGAGGAAGCUGCUUUGAAGGUCGAGAAAAAGCUCGCUGAUUUGCAGUUAUUGGACAGGCAACAUGUUAUCAUCCCAGACCACCUUCAGGUCCCAGAAUCAGAGAGAUAUGGCUUGAGUUUCGGGAGCUUCGAUGCUGGUUUUGAAAUUACCACAGCAAAUGGCCCGGCAAGUGACAAAUAUUCUGUGCCAUCUGACUCUGAGUUGUCACAGGGGAUUGAGGGGACUGUUGAGGAGCCAUUUUCAAGGUUAGUUAUAUUCUAGCUUUCUCCCUUCAACAUCAAUGUUUUGUUCUCUUUUCUUCAUCUUUGUUGGGUUUUUGGUAUUUUGUUGAAAAGAAAUGUAUAUAUUUCUCAAGUGAGGCUGGUAUGCUUCUGGAAGCACAGAGCCUUCCGUGCUUCCAAGUCAUUUUUGAUGUUGGGAUUUUCGAAUCGACGAUCGGCUCCGUUAGACUUGAUCUAGAGUAAUUGAAGUACCUAGAAAAUAAAUUUUGUGAUUUUUCGAUAUCAUUCCCCUAGUGAUCGAAGGGGCUCAAAAUCAAUAAUUUUAAUGGCCGUGGUGCGCUGUUUGCAAGUUUAACGGUGUAGAAAUAUCCAAAUCACGUGAAAUUUUUAUAGAAAAUUCUUUAUACUAUAUAAAACAAGAUCAAUAUCUUUGAUCUAAAAUUUUAAUAUCAUAUCAUCACACUUUGUAAAAUUUUUAUUUUCAGCCGUUGAUUUUGAGCCCCUUCGAUUAGGCAAAUGAUAUCGAAAAAUUGCAAAAUUUAUUUUCUAGAUACUUCAAAUACUCUAGAUCAAGUUUAACGGAGCCGAUCUUCAAUUCGAAAGUCUCAACUUCGAAAACAACUUGGAAGCACGGAGGACUCCGUCUUCUAGAAGCAUACUGGCCUUACUCUAUAUUUAUCUUUUAUAUUUUUCAAAUGUAUUAUGUGAUCUGCUAAGAACAAAUUACAUCAGCCAGUUUUCCAUGUAAUGAGCGUAUAAUACACAAAUGGUUCACCUAAACGAGUAGCAGGUUUUUACUUUUCUCUAUCUUGCAUUCAAAUGAUAAAUUCUCUGCUGUUAUUUAUCGGCUGUACUUUCGUUAGUCCGUUUGGUCACUGAAUUCUAUAACACACUCAGUGAUUCAGCUUACACUUGAUGAAUUUAAGUAUAUUUGAAAAUUAAAACCUCCCUUUUAGCUUCAUAUUAAUGAACUAAUCAGCUGAAAAUGAUAUACUUAGAACAGAGGGAACUUUCUCUUCAUAGAAUUCGAAGGAUCUCAUCAUUCUGAAAUUUGUCGAUCAACUUUUUGUAAAGCUUUGGCAACUUAUAUCUCACCACUUAAUUGUUGGAAUUAUCAAUUGCUCUCUGAAAAAUGUGCAAUCCGAAUGAGGUGUUUGGGUCGGAUCGUACAAAAUUCUGUUUCAUUCUGGCAGAGAAGCUUAUUUUUCUUUUUCAUUUUUGGCUAUAUGUCUUCCAAGCACUGCAUUUAUUACUUCCUUUUAUAUUCCAUUGCAGCAUGCAGAAUGCAUCCUCUGCUGUUGAAGAAACAGAAGCUUUGGAUCAUGAGCAGUCACCUACAGAGAUGCCGGAAAAUAUAUCUAGGGAGGUGGAGAAGUCAUCCAGCACCAAUGAAACAGAAGAAGCUGAUCAAUCCAAAGAAGCAGCUGCUUUACCUCCGGAAGCUUCUCACCACCCCCUUCUUCAAACUGCACCGUCUUAUUCGACAUAUGGGUUGGUACCACAGAUGCUCGGAAAUCAGUUUGGAUCCUUUGAGACCUCUGACAGUCAGGCACAUGACACCAAUCGCAUACCAAACAUCAUGGUAUGUCUUCAGUUUCAUAUCACUAAUUAUUCCUAUGUUCAAUUGUAGACAAUUUAUUUUGGUUCUUUUUGUUUAUUGCCCACAAUGAUUCUUCCCUUGUAGCAUGAUCCACAAUAUACAUUGCCAGCCUGUUCACUCUUUCUUCUUUUUUUCCCUUCCCCUAUCAGUUAGUUGCUAGUUUAAGGGAGUGAUCCCUAGUAUUGGUACUUCAAACCUCAUUCUUGAUUGGAAGUCGUGGAUUUCAUUUUAUUUUGUUUCUCCGUUUUACAUAUCAUUGUGAAGUGGUUUUUUAUUUAGGUCCAGCAGCAACCAUUUGAUAUGUUUGCAAGCUAUUACACCCAAUUUUAUCGACCCACAACUGAUGCUGAUGGCCGUUUCUCUCCCUUUCUUGCACCCGGUGCUGCUGCCAAAUACAAUGGGAACGUUGCUGUCCUGCCUUCUCAAACUGGCCAGGCUUCUCAAGAGGUUUGUGCAUCAACGUUGGACUUUGCAUGGUACAUGUUGGUUUUCCUUAGACUACUAUUUGUUAUUCUGUUCACUAUGCUGUCAAAGUAUAUCAGCAGUCUAUUCUAUAAUAUUUAAUUUGAAGAUUUAAGUGUUGAGCUCCAUAAAAUUAAAUGGUUUUGGCCUAAAUUUCUCUGAACUCCAUUACUUAUACAAUAGUAUAGAUACUCGGCACUUCUUCGCAUUGACAGUGUAAAAGGCUGUUGGCUUUCAUGAUGACUCACUAUUUCUUCACAUGUACAAUACUGCAAUGACGAGAAAGACUUUUUAACUGGAUUUCGGGGUGAAUGAAGCCAUGUAAACUGGGAUUUCUCAAUGAUUUUGCUUAUCUUUACUGCAAUCUGAGUUCUCUUGGGACUUGUCACGUCCUAUCAUGUGCACAUCAGUUAAACUCUGUGUUUUGGUGAAAAGAAAAAGAAAAAGUAACAUUGUUUGGGGAUCCUUUCCAGCCAAAAUUUGCAGUUGAAGAAGUUAAAAUGCAAUUGCAGAAAGACAGUAUAACUUCACUUUUUGCCUAAGUUACUGAUGCUGUUAUUUUAUGCUACUGCAGAGUGGGAACUCGCUGGUCUUUUCUUCAUCUGCCUCUACUCCUCUAACCACCCAAGCCGCUGGUGUCGCACAAAGCUCUAUUGCUAUUCCGCCGCAACCAGUUCCUGUCCUACGUCAGCCGACCGGCGUACACAUAUCCCAUUAUCCCCCCAACUAUUUCCCCUACAACCAAUAUUUCUCUCCCUACUAUGUUCCUCCUCCUCUUCACCAUUUCUUAAGCAAUGCCGCUGCAUUUCCCCAACAACCUCCCAGCGGAGGCAUAUAUCCACCUGGAGCAGCAGCAGCAGCAGCAACAGCUGCAGCCCCGCUCAAAUACCCCUUCUCUCAAUACAAGUCUGGUGGUAAUGCUGGUAAUCAAGCAAAUCAUGUUGGAAUGCCGACUAGCUAUGGAGCGUACAGUUCGAGCUCAGCGGGCUACUCUACUAGCGCUGCUGCGGCCAGCGGAAACUCAGGUGGAAAUGAUGAUAUCAGCUCGGCACAGUUCAAGGAAAGUAAUGUCUAUAUCGCUGGCCAGCAGGUGAUUACUUCCUGACAUAGAUUUGCUAUAUUGGUGUCUGCUCUGUUAAUGCAAGAGUUCUACCGCAGAUUGCUGAUUAUGAGGAAUCUUUGAUAUACUUAGUCAGUGUAUAUCAUUGUUCACAAAUCACAGGAAAGUGGAAACAUGAUAUAAAACUGUGUCACUCAGAUGCAUAAGAAAAUAGAACUGACCAUUGUAUAAAUCUAUGGAACGUGUCCUUCUAGUCUCUGUCGGAUAUUGAGGGAAGAAGAGAGCAAGAGAAAAGAGAGGAAAAGAAAACGAAUGAGGAGAAAUGAAGAAUAAAUUUCUCUUAUCUUGUUUGGCUACACACAAAGAUGGCGAGAAAAGUUGUAUCUGAAAAUUAUAGAAGUGGAUUAAUGCCUUUUUUUUUUUUUUUCUUCUUCUUUUUUCUGGCUUUCGAGAGAAAAAAAAGGUUUUCUUAGAGAGCAUCAGAGCAAGCAUAGAUGUAAUUCUUUUCAUCUAUGUUUCAAGUUCCUGAUCUUGUAUCUUCUAUCUAACGAGUUAUGUUUUCUGUCAGAACGAAGGCUCUGCCGUGUGGAUACCGACGCAUGGGCGGGACAUCUCCAGCCUUCAGGCAGGUUCCUUCUAUGGCCUUCCCCCACAAGGCCAACCCAUGGCUUUUGCACCUCCACAAGCCGGCCACGGCGCCUUCAGCGGGAUCUACCACCCGACUCAGACGGUUACCGCACAAGCUGUUCAUCCUCUUCUUCAGCAGUCCCAGUCCGUAGCCGGAGUCGUCGAAAUGGUGCCUCCAACCGGUCUUUACCAACAGCCGCAACGACCGCAGAUCAAUUGGACCAAUAAUUAUUGAAAUCCCCCCAAAAUGUUGGUAGUAGCCAAAUGGCAAAAAAAGCUCCGGCUAUAUAUGCAAACAAACGAUUAUGGCUACUACUAUUCUUGAGUGUGAUUUAAAGGAUUGGUUUUAAAGUAUUGGGCAUACAAGGCCCUGAAAUCGAAGAGUAUACAUGUAUAUACUUAUCUGAAGGGUGGCCAACCUGCAGUUUAAGGCAGAGGAUUCCAAGUUGUUUGGAAAGAAGUUGAUAGUUGAGGUUUUCAACUUGUGACAAAAACUGACCCAUUCUUAAGUUAGUCGAGAGGUUUUACUCAGCUUCCUUUCUUCUUAUCUUUAUAACCCUAAAAUUCGGUAGGGGUAGUGAAGUGUUGUGAUUUUUCUGUUCCACCUAUCCUUCCCAAUGAAUUAUUAGUAGAUAAACUUUGGAAGGUAAGAGCUUAAAGCUAGUGGGGUUUUUCAUUCUUUACGAUGCCUUUUUAUGUAAAUUAAAUUUUGAUAGUUUUGAGAAUGUAUCACACUUGUUGUACUCGGUGCUUCUGGAAACAUUAGAAAAACUACCUCUUCUGAUACCUUUUUUUUCAGCCGAAAAGCUGUAGUCAGAUUUGCUCCCGACAAUAAGCUGUAGGAUUCCUCUUGCUGCUUUUAAGCUCCAGGAUGGUCAUCCGAGGAGGAGGUAACAACCCUAAAGCUUUUUAAUCAGUUUCGGGUUUUUAUUAGUUGAGUGAGAUCUGUUUCUUGAAGCAUGUUUGUCCUGUAAGAACAGUUAGGGUUGUCGACAUUAUUUAUAAGAGACAUUGAUAUAGUGCUAGAAAGACUUGUGUGAUAACAACUUUUUCCCUUCUUGAGUUUCAUUUCUCUAAAAGAAAUUCGUAAGAUGCUUGUCUUUUUGUGCUGUUCCUUCAUGGUCUAAAGUUGAAAUAAUUUGGUUCCCUGCGCAUUUACAUUUGUAAUAAUUACUAAAUGUUAUUGACAAGGAAAGUAAAGAAGCAUACAGGAUUCCACAUUACUGUUGCGUCGAUCGUAGUAAACGGUAUCGACAAAAGAUAUUAUGGAAAAUCUCCUCGCAAACGAUUGUUGUUUACAGUUUUUAUCUAACAAUUGUGAAAAAUGCUUUCUAUACUAUUUCACUAUUCAGCUGUUUAAUGCUUCUGCUUGUCUCUUUUGUAGUAAGUGUUUUUUUGUAAAUAUUCAUAUUGAGCUGAAUAUAGUGUUAUGGUGUCUGCACCUUUUAACUAAUUGCAAAAAAUGCUUGUUACUGUUCAGCUGUUCAAUGCUUCUGCUCUUAUGUUUUGUAGUCAAAGUUUACCUUUAGUAAAUGAGUACUGAAGAAUGGGGACUAAUCUGUGUGUAGGGGUGGCAAUCUAGCUCGCUGUUCGCGAGCCAGUUCGUGUUCAGUUCGAGAUGAGCUUGAGAUCAGCUUGCUCGUUUAGUAAAUGAGCCGAACACAAGCUGGAUAUUUUAGCUCGUUUAAUAAACAAGCCGAACAUGAGCUGGGGUCAGCUCGCUCGUGUUCGGCUCGAUAACAGCUCGAAUACAUAUAUUUUAUAUUUAUAUAAUUUAUUUAAUUUAUAUUUUUAUAUAUAAAUAAAUAAUUAUAUAUAAUAUAUAUUUUUAUUUUUUAAAUUUUAGCAAAAUAAAAAUAAAAAUACUAGCUUAAUUAUAAAAAGAUUCAUUUAUAUGUAAAGUUUCAAUUAUUAGAUCAAAGUCUAAUGAAUAAGAUUUUAUAAAUUUAUUUUUUAUAUAUAUUUAAUCUAUUUUUUUUUUAAUUUAUUGUUUGUUGGCCAGCUCGUGAGCCAGCUCGUGUUCAGCUCGUUAAUAAACGAGCCGAACAUGAGCAAGUUGGGGCCGGCUCGUGUUCGGCUCGUUUAAUAAAUGAGCCGAACACGAGCUGAAUUUUUCGACUCGAUAUUUUAACGAGCCAACUCGUGUUCGGCUCGUUAUUAUGUGCUUUCUUGGCUUUGCCUUUAAGGUCAGGGCCGUCGAUAAGCCGAGCACGACCGAGCUCGGGCCGGCUCGUGAUCGCUCGUUUAUUAAACGAGCCGAACACUAGCCGACUCGGUAAAAAUAUCUAGCUGAAAAAUUCAACUUGCGUUCUGUUUGAUUUGUCUAUUAAGAAGUCAGCUUGGAUCCGUCCUGUUCACUUCGCUUCGAAUCAUCGACGAAGGCCUCAAAAUUAAAAUCUAAUUAAUUAGAUAUUAUAUUCAUUAAAAUUUAAAAGACCUGUAAAUAAAAAAAAAAAGUCAUAAAUAUUUGGACACCGUUCUCUUACAAGUUACAAUCGAACAAUGUCUACUUCGUACUCGAUGUUCAUGUGUUUCGGGGAUGUAUUAUGGAUACAGUGAAUAUAUAGAGACAAUAAUUCGCUCCCCACUUUAAGUUUUUGGCGUUUUCCUGUGACAAAAUUAAUUAUCAUCAUGACUAGGAAUUGCAUAAGCAGUACACAAAGAUCCCAAAUUGUGCACUUAAAUUUAUAUUUUGAUGUUUACGUUUUAAAUGAAUUCAAUAUCAAACACUUAAAACGUGGGCUGCUUAUUGUUAGAUGACUCCCAAAGUCCAACACCCUCUUUUAACAUAUUUUCUCUAUUUCACACCUCACAAAAAAAAAAAAAAAAAAAAAAAAAAAAACUUUGUCAUGGUUAAGGGUGUGCUAGUUCAGUUCAAUUUGGUUCGGAUUUUAAAUUUUUUUUUAUUUGAUUAGAAGUGGACCAAAACAAUUUAUUCCCAGGACCGACCCGAACCGCACUGAAUUAGCUCAUGACUUAAGACCGAACCAAAUUGCAUUAUUUAGUUUGGUUCUUUUUUUUUUUUUUUGUUUCAGUUUGAAACCAAUCUUUAGCUUGGAAUUCCAUUAGCAAAUAAAAUUAUGAAAAACAAUUUGAUCAUGAAAUGAGAUGCACUAUUUCACGUAGUAAUAAUGGCAUGCAUUCAAAGAUUGUCUAAGAACAAAGAUAAUUUAUUUUUUAAACAUUACUUUACUAUAAAAUUAUUAUAUUUAUCAUAUUGCUCUUGAUUAUAAGCUAAGAUGCUACCUGAAAAGUUGGGAGUGCUACAGCUCCUAAUUUUUCGAAAUAUCAAUGCCGAGAUUCGAACCUCUGAUCUAGUAACAAACCAAUAUUUUAAACAAGUAUUGUUAACAUAAACCCGCGAUGCUAAAUAGGAUCAAUUUCCUUCAAUUGAUUUUGGUUUGGUAAGAAUUAAAUCGCCGAGAGUUAUUUCAUAUCCAUUUUCCAAAUAAUUCCUUCCCAAAAUGGAUAUUAAUUUUCUUACAAUUUAAAUAAAGAUAUAUAUUAAGAGACAUCGACAUAUUAAAAUGACUUUUCAUCCCAUUGCAAACAAUAAUUUGGAGUUGAACUCUAUUAAAUUCCAAUUUAUUCCAAGCAAAAAUAAUCACCCUUAAUUGCUCUGAAUUCAAUUUCUCUAAAUUUGAAUCACUUGAAUGCUAUUUAGAUUUGAUUUUAAAAUGGAUUGUAAAACAAAUUACGAGUUAGAUAAUUAAAUUACAAAACUCAAGUAGUCUACCCAAAGUUAGGUCAAGCUGUGUGAAAAGAGAAAAGUAUUACUUACAGCGGAUGAAGUACGUAGGAUAUACCAAAAAACAUUCAUAUCGUGCUAAAUAAGCUGAUGGAGAGUCCAAUCAGGGACAAUAUAGUAAUCUUAUACUCCAAUGAUUCGUUCGAAAAGUUUGAUCAAUCUAAUAUAUAUAGCAAUAAUAUGUACAUAGCUUGAGCACACAAUUCUACAUACCUUCUGAUCAUAAAAAGCUUUAAACUGGCACUUGAAGCAUGAGGGCUAGAGCUACAAGCAUGCAACUUUUUAUAAUAUUACUUGUGGUUUGGCUUCUAAAAAACCAAAUCUUGGAGAGCUAUGGAUGCCUCAGCGUAGAGCGCGAGGCGCUUCUCGCAUUCAAGUCCGGUGUCGUCGAUCCACGAAACUGCUUGUCUUCUUGGGAAGGCUCUGACUGCUGCAGAUGGAAGGGAGUUCGGUGCAACAAUAAGACUAGCAGAGUUGAGAAGCUCAUCCUUAGAUUGGCUUGUGGAACUUCCUCAGACACAAGCUACGGAGGUUUUGGUGGUGAGGUCAAUCCAUCAUUGCUAUCUUUAAGCCACUUGAAGCACUUAGAUCUCAGCAUGAAUAACUUUAGUACCAGUUUUCCUAAUUUCAUCGCUUCGUAUAAGAAGUUAAGAUAUCUUGACCUCUCUAAUGCGGGUUUUACUGGAAUGAUACCUCUUGAAUUCGGAAACUUGUCAACUCUUCGUUAUCUUGACCUUAGUAAUAGAUACUAUAACGAUAGUACUACCUCUCAUGGCAAACUAUCGUGGAUCAAAGGUCUCUCUUCUUUGAAGUACCUUGACUUGACCUUUGUGAUGCUACAAAAUGCAUAUGAUUGGUUACAAGCAGUGAACAUGUUGUCUUCAUUGCAAGUGCUCCGCUUAGGGAGUUGCUCUCUUCCAAGCAAUCCCGACCCCACUUUUGGUUUCAACUUGACAAGUUUGAGCACACUUGAUCUUCGAGAAAACUACUUCAACUCGACCUUGCCUGAUUGGCUAUGGAGCUUCACUAGCCUAACUGAUCUCAAUCUCAAUCAUAACAAUUUUUAUGGUCCAAUUCCUGUUGAAUUAGGCAAUUUGACUUCACUUACUUCCUUGUGUUUAGGAUCCAACAACUUGGCCGGCCCGGUACCGAAUUCAAUCAAGAACCUUUGCAAAUUAAACACUUUAAGUUUGUCAGGAUGCAAUCUAGAUAGAGAUAUAAUCGAAUUUUUGUCAGAACUCUCUUGCGUCUCUCUUAAUAAUUGGCGACUAUUGGAUUUGCAGAACACAAAUAUAAAGGGAAAUUUGUCUGGCUGGCUUGAACAUAUGACGAGUCUUAAAUAUCUCGAUGUCAGCAAUAAUUUCCUCAAUGGUUCGAUACCUGUAGGAAUAAAUAAACUAUCUAAUCUAGCUUUUCUUGAUCUUCAUGGAAAUUCGUUUGCUGGGGUUAUACUUGAAACUCAUCUUAUGAACUUCACAAGAUUAAAGUUUCUUCGGGUGAGCGGUACAUCUCUUGAGUUGAAGGUGGAGGAUAAUUGGGUGCCCCCUUUUCAAGUGCAAGAAUUAGUUUUGAGGUCAUGUCGAUUGGGUCCACGAUUUCCAAGAUGGCUCCGAUUGCAACAAGAAAUUGAAGUCUUAGAUUUGUCAAACAACUGGAUCGCUGGCACUAUUCCUUAUUGGUUUUGGGACAUAUCUUCAUCUAUCAGGAGCUUAGGCCUUUACAAUAACCAAAUUAGCGGCAUUUUGCCAUCUUCUUUGCGAAACAUGACAUCAUUAGAGGUGUUAAAUUUGCGUUCUAAUUAUUUACGAGGAUUCUUACCAUUUUUGCCUGAUUCUUUGAAAUGGGUUGAUUUCUCAAGCAAUGAGUUUUUUGGAUCACUUUCACAGUCCUUCUUCAAGCCAAACCUAAUAGGCGUUCUUUUAUCGAACAACUCCAUUAGUGAUGAUGGCAUCCCAUCAUCUAUAUGCAAUAUGCAAUCUUUGUCCAUACUUGACAUGUCGAACAACAAUUUAUUUGGUGAGCUGCCAAAUUGCUGGAAUGGUGUAUCAAAUAGUUUGAAUGUUAUAGACCUAUCCAGUAACAAGCUAUCAGGACAACUUCCUGAUUCAUUGGGCUGUGCCAGUAAACUUGAGUUCUUGCACUUAAACAAUAACAGCUUAUAUGGGGAACUUCCUUCGGCUUUACAAAAUUGUCCCUUAGUACUACUUGAUCUCGGGCAAAACAAGUUAUCAGGUGAGAUUCCUAUGUGGCUAGGAAAGUUAACAAAUCUUAUAGUUCUUCGGUUGAUGUCAAAUAUGUUUGCCGGCAACAUUCCUGCAGAGCUCGGACAACUUGAGAAUCUUCAAAUAUUGGAUCUUUCUUGGAACAAUUUAUCUGGAAACAUACCUCAAUCUUUUUGGUAGUUUCCCGGCGAUGGCUUCAAUCGAGUUAUCUAAAUACAUGAUUGAUAUACAUUGGCUUUACGUUAAUUUUUUUCUAGUACAAACAAUCUAUGGAUAUCGAUUCAACUGCAUGUUGUAUAAUUAUUCUAGUCAAAGAUUAUAUAUUGCAACAAAAGGGUCAAAUCUUCAAUUUUCGAAGAAUCUGUUCUUCGAGAAGAGCAUAGACCUCUCAGGUAACAAACUUGAUGGUGCGAUCCCUGCGGAACUAGCCGAUCUAUCAGCGCUGCACAAUUUGAACUUAUCAAGAAAUCACUUAAAAGGAAGGAUUCCUGAUAAGAUAGGAAACUUACAAUCUUUGGAGUCUCUCGAUCUUUCUAUGAACGAAUUAAAUGGAACCAUCCCCCAAAGUAUAACGGCCUUGAAAUCUCUGAGCAACUUGAAUUUAUCAUACAAUAACCUCUCAGGAAGGAUUCCAUCUGGAGAUCAAAUACAGACAUUGGUUGAUCCUACUAUAUAUGCUGGCAAUCCCUAUCUCUGCGGUCCCCCGAUUUCGAAGAAUUGCUCUGGAAAUGAACCGACAUAUACUCCUGAUGAGAAGAAACAGCACAAUGGUGGCUUGGAGAACAUAGAAAUUUAUCUCGUUAUGGGAUUGGGAUUUAUUGUGGGGCUUUGGGGAGUUUAUGGCGUCUUGCUCUUCAAAUCUGCAUGGAGAAAUACUUACUUCUACAUUAUUGACAAGAUGUACUACAAGUUUUUUGCUGGCAAUUGAGACACAGUAAGAUCAUCAUAUGUAUUAGAAGUUGUAGAAGUUUGUAUACAUACCAGUAAAGGUAUGCAAUAAUCUGUUGUAUGCUAAUCGAAAUGGAUUUUGAAGUUUCUGUUCUCAUAAACUUGCUGUUAGUGGAAUAUUCAUUUUUUUAAUUUAAUUUUUCCUGCGUGAUAACAUCUUAACUCUUAUAUAUGUGGGAUUGUAGUACCACUGUUUUCCCAAAAAGAAAAAAAAAAAAAAGAAGAAAUUGCUCUUAGUCUUCCUAUCGAAUUAGGUUAAUUGCACCAUUGGUUCCCGACUUUUACUUAAUUUUUUUGCUUUUGUCUAAGACUCUUUAAUUUUUGCAAUCAAAUACCUAACCUUCAUCAUUUCUUUCAAUUAAUUCUCUGUUGUCAAAAAAAUCAUUCACACUAACAAGAAUUGUCACUUUAGCACCGAACAAUAUUUGCCAUAUUAGCAGAUACCGACUAACCUUAUGAUGUGGUGACUUUUGUCAAAUUUAGCAAAAGUUUUGGACGGUAUAAAUAAUAAAAAAGUUGACCUAAUUGCCAAAUUAAUAAAAAGAAAAGUCAGGGAUUAAAGUGAUAAAUUAGUUAAGCACUGGGGACCAAUAGUGUAAUUAACCCUCUAAAACAAGCAGAUACUAUGAACUUCACAUAUCUCCAGAAUUUAGAGUCUCAAGCACUGUAUUUUAAUCCUGCCACUUAUCAGUUAUAUAUAUUUUUCUUUUUCAAUUUAGAAAAUUAUAGCGCUGAAUUGAAAGUACGAGAUGGAUGCAGCAAGAUGCAGGCAACAAAGUAAUACUGGGGAUAGUUUUAGUUUGGGUAAAAUUACACUUUGGUCCUCAAACUAUAAAGAGCGUGACACUUUGGUCUUUAAAUUUUAAUUUCUAGUUUUUGGCUUGAACUUUCUGAAUUACUGCAAUUAAGUCUCACAAUCUUAUUUAACUUGCCAAAUGUUGGCAAAUUAUUGGUAUUCUGAUUGAAAAUGCGUCAAUAAUUAAAAUGUUACAUCAUUUCUACAUCAAUAUUUUGUCAAUAUUUAACCAACUAAGUUGAGUUGUGGUACUUGAUUGCAAUAAUUCAGAACAAAUCAAAGUUCGAGGACUGAAGUGUUAAACACCUCAUAGAAGGCUUUUAAACUUCCUCAGGUUGAAACGUUACUAAUAAAAGCUAUACAGAAUUAAUUAAGGUGAUCAAAUUGAAGGUUUUAAAGGCCAAGAUUAAUUUACUUUUCAUCUCAAGUUAGCAAAAUGGAGCACCCAUUUAAUUUUCUUGUUUUUUGGGUUUUAUUUCUCUUAAGCAUGACUUAAACUAUUCAAAAUUUAAAUAGUUUUUAAAAAAUUAUCUAAUAAUAAAUUACUGAAUAAAUAAUUAUAUACAUACUAUGCAAAACUCAUGUUAAAAAAAGAUUUUAAAAAUAAAAUUAAAAAAAAAAUUAACAUUUAAAAGAUUUAAUUAUAUUAUGCUACACUGUACUUUAUUUUUUUUUUUUUCACUUUCUACACUAUACUAAUUUUUUUUGGAUAAAAUAUAAAAAAUCCUCAUAUAAAUAUUUUUUUUUUUACUUUUCUAAUUUUUAAAAACUUGUAUUUUAUUUUCUUAACAUUUCCGAAAGGUGAGGAUAUUCAUAAAGGACCACCAUAGGUCUAUAGUUUACUUUUUUUUUUUAAAUGGUAAACUUCGAUUUGUUUAUACUGUUCUAAAUCGUAAUCAUUUGACUUGUUCCAAGCCAUGCACCUCUAGAAGAAAGUCUAUAUUGUGGCCAAGGCUACUAUACUAUUAUGAGUAUUGGAGUCCUCGUACUCAUAAGUUGUUUUCAAUGAUGGAGCUUCCGAAUCGACGAUCCACUCCGUUAAAUAUGAUUAGAGUAUUUGAAUUUUCUAAGAAAAUAAUUCGUAAAUUUUGAAAUUAUAAUGAAAAAUAAAUUCAUCAAGGCGGUGCAAUAAAAGAACGGUGCAAAAUCGAACCGACUGUCAUCUAAAAAGUAAUGUCGAUCCUUACAAUUCAAGAUCGGAGUUAUUAUCGUUUACUAUUAGUGAAUAGAAUUUCUUCAUCAAAAAAUUCAACAAAUUUCGAUUCUUUACAGCCGUUAAACUGAGCAAAGUACCCAUACUGCGUUAAAAAUUGUCAAAUUUUGACCUCUGAUGUAAGUAAAUGAAAUUCGAAAAAAUUAUACAAAUUUGAUUCUAGAAGUUUCAAAUGCCUGUAAUAGUUUCGUGUGGAUCGUCGAUUUGGAAGCUCAUCAUCGAAAAGCAACUUAAGUACGGGCCGAUCGUCACUUAUAAUGAGUUUAGUUAGCCGACUCCUAUCCUUGUAACAUUUAUACCCUCAUUUUCUUAUCCAUGUCAUCACACGUUCUUUUUGAAUAAAACUAAUCAUAAUGUUUUUUUUACUUUUUAAUAACCAUGAUUAUGAGCGAAUCCAAGGAGAAUAGAUCUGAUUGUUGUAAACUAGUAUCAGCUAAAUCAAUAACUGAUCAUUCAGACCUUUAAGNNNNNNNNNNNNNNNNNNNNNNNNNNNNNNNNNNNNNNNNNNNNNNNNNNNNNNNNNNNNNNNNNNNNNNNNNNNNNNNNNNNNNNNNNNNNNNNNNNNNNNNNNNNNNNNNNNNNNNNNNNNNNNNNNNNNNNNNNNNNNNNNNNNNNNNNNNNNNNNNNNNNNNNNNNNNNNNNNNNNNNNNNNNNNNNNNNNNNNNNNNNNNNNNNNNNNNNNNNNNNNNNNNNNNNNNNNNNNNNNNNNNNNNNNNNNNNNNNNNNNNNNNNNNNNNNNNNNNNNNNNNNNNNNNNNNNNNNNNNNNNNNNNNNNNNNNNNNNNNNNNNNNNNNNNNNNNNNNNNNNNNNNNNNNNNNNNNNNNNNNNNNNNNNNNNNNNNNNNNNNNNNNNNNNNNNNNNNNNNNNNNNNNNNNNNNNNNNNNNNNNNNNNNNNNNNNNNNNNNNNNNNNNNNNNNNNNNNNNNNNNNNNNNNNNNNNNNNNNNNNNNNNNNNNNNNNNNNNNNNNNNNNNNNNNNNNNNNNNNNNNNNNNNNNNNNNNNNNNNNNNNNNNNNNNNNNNNNNNNNNNNNNNNNNNNNNNNNNNNNNNNNNNNNNNNNNNNNNNNNNNNNNNNNNNNNNNNNNNNNNNNNNNNNNNNNNNNNNNNNNNNNNNNNNNNNNNNNNNNNNNNNNNNNNNNNNNNNNNNNNNNNNNNNNNNNNNNNNNNNNNNNNNNNNNNGGAUUUAUUGUGGGGCUUUGGGGAGUUUAUGGUGUCUUGCUCUUCAAAUCUGCAUGGAGAAAUACUUACUUCUACAUUAUUGACAAGAUGUACUACAAGUUUUUUGCUGGCAAUUGAGACACAGUAAGAUCAUCAUAUAUAUUAGAAGUUGUAGAAGUUUGUAUACAUACCAGUAAAGGUAUGCAAUAAUCUAUUGUAUGCUAAUCGAAAUGGAUUUUGAAGUUUCUGUUCUCAUAAACUUGUUGUUAGUGGAAUAUUCCUUUUUUUAAUUUAAUUUUUCCUGUGUGAUAACAUCUUAACUCUUUUAUAUGUGGGAUUGUAGUACCACUGUUUUCCCAAAAAGAAAAAAAAAGAAAUUGCAAUUAGUCUUCCUAUCGAAUUAGGUUAAUUGCGUCAUUGGUUCCCGACUUUUACUUAAUUUUUUGCUUUUGUCUAUGACUUUAAUUUUUGCAAUCAAGUACCUAACCUUCAUCAUUUAUUUCAAUUAAUUCUCUGUUGUCAAAAAAAUCAUUUACAGUAACAAGAAUUGUAACUUUAGGAAGCUCCAUCAUCGAAAACAACUUAUGAGUACGAAGGGCCUAAUACUCAUAAGAGUAUAAUAGCCUAUAUAUAUAUAUAUAUAUAUAUAUAUAGCGGUCUUCGGUUAGAGUGAUAGUGAUCCUCUAGGGUUGAGUGGGUGCACUACAAAAGAAUUAGGUUAUAGGAACACAUGUUUGGGAUACUUUUGUGUAAAUGUCCAAUUUAUACCAAAACUUAAAAAAAAUCUACUAAUGCCUAAAUAUAAAGUUCAAUCCAAUCAAAAAUAAAAGAUUACUCUAUUCAAGCCACCCCAUCCAGUCCAUUCGGCCCGAUUACAAACAGAAAAAAAAGAAAAAUCGAUUACCAUUUCCCCUUCUCCUCUCACUCAAUCGAUUGAAAUCUUAAACGAAGAUUCCUUCCUCUCGUCCUCCUCUGCCACCGCAGCCAACGAGGUAGAGUUCCGGCGGUUGUUAAAUGCUUAAAUAAGUGUUGAUAAAUUAGUAGCACACUUUUUAGAUUAUAGCGAUACUCUUUAACUGUUACUGUAUACCUAACAACCCUACAUAACGGAUGAAUAGUAUGAUCUAACGGAUGAAAAUGAUCAAAGUGGUUGAUCUAACGACAAAAACUUAUGAGUAUAAAAGGACUCUAUACUCAUAAGAGUAUUGUAGCCGAACUAUAUAUAUAUAUAUAUAUAGAGAGAGAGAGAGAGAGAGAGAGAGAGAGAGAAUUACAGUGUUGAAUUGAAAGUAUGAGAUAGAUGCAGCAAGAUGCAUGCAACAAAUUAAAACUGGGGAUAGUUUUAGUUUGGAUAAAAUUACACCUUUGGUCCCCAAACUGUAAAGCCCGUGACAAUUUGGUCUUUAAAUUUUCAUCUCUUAUUUUUCACUUGAGCUUUUUACAAUUAAGUCUCACAAUCUAAUUUUACUUGCUAAAUAUUGGCAAAUUGUUGAUAUAGAAGUAUUAUGAUUGAUAAUACGGCAAUAAUUAAAAUAUUAUAUUACUGUCACAUCAACAUUCUAUCAAUAUGUAGCCAACUAAAUUGAGUUGUGGUACUUGAUUGCAAAAUUUUAGACCAAACUAAAGUUUGAGGACUGAAGUGUUAAACAACUCAUAGUUGAGGUUCAAAUGUGUUAUUUACCCUUUUUUUAAAACAAAGGCUUUUAAACUUCCUCACGUUGAACCGUUACUAAUUAUAAUAGUUAUACAGAGUUAAUUAAGGUGAUCAAAUUGAUGGUUUUAAAGGACGAAAUUAAUUAACUUGUCAUCUCAAGUUAACUAAAGGAAGCACCCAUCAAUUUUUUUUUUUUGGUUUUAUUUCUCUUAAACAUGAGUUAAAUUAUGUAACGCCCCAAUAAUCCACAUCAGUUGAAAAAAUAAUUCUAAUUAGAAUAUAUGAGGCCUACACGUUAGUAAUAUUAAUUUCGGUUAAGCAUUUUGGGCCAGUGAUUUGGGCCCAAAAAGUUAUUAUUACUAGCAGGUCGGAUUGUUACAAUCGGUAUCAGACUAAAUACCAGCCAGAAGUCUCCAAUAGUCCCACAUCUAUAUAAGGCCUAUACUUAGUAAUGAUAACUGGGUUUAAGUAUUUUGAGCACAACACGAUGCUAAUCUCGGAUUUAAAAGGUUUAAUUACAUUAUGCUACGCUGUAUCUUAUAAAUUUUUUGGCUAAAUUAUAGAAAAUUCCCACUUUUUCACUUUCUGUGAAACAAUCGUGUACUCUUAAACUGGUGUUUAUAUAUUUUCAUAUUUAACACUCCCUCUCACGUCUAGGCUCGAGAUUUUUUUUUCCUUUUGCAAACUUAAGCUGUUAGAGAAUAGUGUUAUAUAUUUUUAUAUUUAAAAUUUGCCCCCUCUCACUCAAAAAUCUACCCUUUGUCCUUUAAAAAAUAGUGUUAUAUAUUUUUAUAUUUAAAAUUUCCCCUCUCGCACUCAAAAAUCUACCCUUUGUCCCUUUAAAAAAUAAAAAACGUUAACAAGUGUACAUGUAACAAAAUGACCAAAUUGCCCUCAUCUUCUUCGCCUCCUUCCCAAUCCUGCUCAUCCUGCACACUUGCCCGCACCUCCCUCAACCCCAGCUUCGGCUCCGUUUCCUCUACCUACUCCCCUGCUCCUCCAACAUUCUCACCAUCCCUCUAUUUCAGCGAUUGUAGAGAGGAGAUCGUGAUGGGUAUGGGCGAAGAGGUGGCGAGGGCAAGGGUGAGGCGGCGGAGGAGGGCGGAGGCAUGUGUCUGGGCAUAGAUAGAGAAGUGCGUGAUCCUUCCUCACCGACAUCUUUUGCCGCCUCGCCCUUGCCCUCGCCCUCACGCACUUCUAAAUGAUGCUGAAAAAUUAUGAAAUUUAGUUUCCAAAUACUUUCAAUAGUGUAGAUUAAGUCUAACGGAGCUGAUCAUGAUUUGGAAGCCGUAUUAUUGAAAACAACUUGGUAGUACGGAAGCCUCGGUGCUACCGACAGUAUAUUAGCCUAGCUAUAUAUAUAUAUAUAUAUAUAUAUAUAUAGCUUAUGGAAGCACGGAGGGCUCCAUGCUUCCAUUUUGUUUUCGAUGUUCGGACUUUCGAAUCGACGAUCGGCUCUGUUAGACUUGAUCUAGAGUAUUUGAAGUAUCUAGAAAAUAAAUUUUGCGAUUUUUCGAUAUCAUUUGCCUAGUGAUCGAAGUGGCACAAAAUCAACGGUUGAAAAUAAAAAUCUUACAAAAUAUGAUGAUAUGACAUUAAAAUUUUAGAUCAAAGUUAUUGAUCUUGUUUUAUAUGGUAUAAAGAAUUUUGUAUCAAAAUUUCAUCUAAUUUGAAUACUUCUAUACCGUUAAACUUGAAAACGGCAGAUAUCAACCAUUAAAAAUUAUUGAUUUUGAACGCUCUCGAUCACUAGGUAAAUGAUAUCAAAAAAUCGCAAAAAUUAUUUUCUAGAAACUUCAAAUGCGUUAGAUCAAGUCUAACGGAGCCGAUCGUCGAUUCGAAAAUUCCAUCAUCGAAAAUGACUCAGGAGCACGAAGGCCUCUGUGCUCCUAAGAGAACAGCAGUCCUGCUCUAUAUAUAUAUAGAGAGAGAGAGAGCAGGGCUGCUGUGCUCUCAGGAGCACGAAGGCCUCCGUGCUCCUGAGCCAUUUUCGAUGAUGGAAUUUCUGAAUCGAUGAUCGGUUCCGUUAGACUUGAUCUAGCGUAUUUGAAGUUUCUAGAAAAUAAUUUUGCGAUUUUUUUAUAUCAUUUACCUAGCAAUCGAAAUAAUUCAAAAUCAAUAAUUUUUAACGGCUGAAAAUAAAAAUCCUAUAAAAAAGUGGUGAUAUAGCACUAAAAUUUUUGAUCAGAAAUAUUGAUCUUAUUGUAGAUAGUAUAAAGAAUUUUUUAUCAAAAUGUCAUUUGAUUUGAAUGCUUCUACACCGUUAAACUUGAAAACGGCAGAUAUCAACCAUUAAAAAUUAUUAAUUUUGAAUCCUUUCGAUCAUUAGGUAAAUGAUAUAGUGCUAGAAAGACUUGUGUGAUAACAACUUUUUCCCUUCUUGAGUUUUAUUUCUCUGAAAAUAGAUCGUAAGAUGCUUGUCUUUUUGUGCUGUUCCUUCAUGGUCUAAAGUUGAAAUAAUUUGGUUCCGUGCGCAUUUACAUUUGUAAUAAUUACUAAAUGUUAUUGACAAGGAAAGUAAAGAAGCAUACAGGAUUCCACAUUACUGUUGCGUCGAUCGUAGUAAACGGUAUCGACAAAAGAUAUUAUGGAAAAUCUCCUCGCAAACGAUUGUUGUUUACAGUUUUUAUCUAACAAUUGUGAAAAAUGCUUUCUAUACUAUUUCACUAUUCAGCUGUUUAAUGCUUCUGCUUGUCUCUUUUGUAGUAAGUGUUUUUUUGUAAAUAUUCAUAUUGAGCUGAAUAUAGUGUUAUGGUGUCUGCACCUUCUAACUAAUUGCAAAAAAUGCUUGUUACUGUUCAGCUGUUCAAUGCUUCUGCUCUUAUGUUUUGUAGUCAAAGUUUUCCUAUAGUAAAUGAGGAUUGAAGAAUGGACUAAUCUGUGUGUAGUUUCUAAGUUUUUAUGUGCUUUACUGGCUUUGCUUUUAAGGUCAGGGCCGUCGACGAGCCGAGCACGACCGAGCUUGGGCCGGCUCGUGAUCGCUCGUUUAUUAAACGAGCCGAACACCAGCCGACUCGUUAAAAUAUCUAGCUGAAAAAUUCAACUCGUGUUCUGUUCGAUUUGUCUAUUAACGAGUCCGCUUGGAUCCAUCCUGUUCACGUCGAAUCAUCGACGGUCUCAAAAUUAAAAUCUAAUUAAUUAGAUAUUAUGCUCAAUAAAAUUUAAAAGACCUAUAAAUUUAAAAAAAAUCAAAAAAAUUUGGACACCGUUCUCUUACGAUCGAACAUUGUCUAUUUCAUACGCGAUGGUCACGUGUUUUUUUUUUAAUUUUUUUAUAUGGGAUGGUCACGUGUUUUUUUUUUUUUAUUCCAGUGACAUAAUUAUCAUGACUUGGAAUUGCAUAAGGAGUUCACAAAGAUCCCAAAUUGUGCACUUAAUUUUAUAUUUGAUGUUUACAUUUUAAAGUGAAUUCAAUAUCAAACACUAAAACGUGGGCUGCUUAUUGUUCGAUCACUCCAAAUACAACACCUUUUUUAACAUGUUUUCUCUGUUUCACACCUCAAAAAAAAAAAAAAAAAACUUUCAUGGUUAAGGGUGUGCUUAGUUCAAUUUGGUUCGGAUUUUUAAAUUUUUUUUAUCAGAACUGGACCAAACCGGUUUAUUCCCAGGACCAACCCGAACCGCGCUGAAUUAGUUCAUGAUUUAAGAAUCAAAAUUGAAUCGUGAUAAAAAUUACAUACCAAAAAUUAAAUUUGGACCAUACAAUUUAAACAGUAUUGUUAUGAAUGGGUUUAAUUUGAUAUAUAUUACAAUACAAGAUUGGAUUAUUAACAUUGUUUUAAAUAUAUGACGAGGAUAAAAAGUGUGAGUAAUACGGUUUCAGCUUGGAUCGAUCAAGAAGAAGUGUCAAAGCUGAAUCGAAACCGAAAAUCAAAUUUUAAUUGUUUUCGCAACCAAAUUAAAUUGAAAAUCAAAUAAAUCAAACUAAAUUUCAUUAUUUAGUUUGGUUUUUUUUUUUUUGUUUUCAAUUUGAAACCAUACUCUGACUUAGAAUUCCUUUACCAAAUAAAGUUAUGAAAGGAGAUACUUUGUGGGUCAUUUUCUUUUUUCUUUUUUUUUUUUUUUUUAAAGAGAUAGGUAGCACGCUAUCCGCUUCGUUUAUUUCAUUUAGAAAUAAAUUUAGCUAGAAAUGUGAAUCAACUAGGAUUCGAACUUGAGUCUCGACUACCAACCAUCAAGUCCUUUGCCACUUGCUCUAGGGACGGUCGGUUUUGUGGGUCAUUUUCUGUGGAAACUAUUUCACAUAGUAAUAGCGACAUCCAACCAAUCACAAAUUUUAUCGCGUUACACGAAUGGACAAAAAUAAUUUUAAUUAUUUUCAUCGAAAACCACAUAAAAACCGACCCAAAUUGCAUUAUUUAGUUUGGUUCUUUUUUAGUUUUCAAUUUGAAACCAUCCUUUGACUUGGAAUUCCAUUACCAAAUAUGGUACUGAAAAGCCAUGUGAUCAAAAGGAAUGCUCUAAAAAGGUCAUUUUUUAAAGGAAAGAAAUUCUAGUAGGGAACUAAAAGGUCUCCCUCACACUAUUCCACAUAGUAAUUAAAAAUGGCAUACACCGACCAUGAGACCCCAAGUUGUUCUAUAUAUGAGAUAUAAUAGGGCUAAAUUCUUAACCCGGCUUAAACAUUUUGGGUGAUGGUAAGGUCCAAAAUAUUAAAAAAGUUAAGCGUGCGAGGACGGGAGUAGUCCUAGGAUGGAUGACCCCCUGAGAAGUUGGGGCGUCACACCGACCGUCCCUAGCGUAAUUGGCAAAAGGGUUUGGUGGUUGGUACCUGAGACCCAAGUUCGAAUCCUAGCUGAUUCACAUUUCCAGCUAAGUUUAUUUCUAAACGAAAUAAACGAAGCGGGUAGCAUGCUAUCUUUCUUUCUAAAAAAAAAAAGAGUAAUAAUGACAUAUAUUCAAAGAUCGUCAAAGUACAAAGAUAAUUCAUUUUUUAAACAUUACUUCCCUAUAAAAUUAUUAUAUUUAUUAUAUUGCUCUUGAUUAUAUGCUAAGAUACUGCCCGAAAAGCUGGGAGCACUAGAGCUCCUAAUUUUUCAAAAUAUCAAGGCCGAGAUUCGAACAUCUGACCUCGUAACAAACCAAGUAUCUUAAACAACGGUUGUUGCUAACAUAAACCCGCGGGGCUAAUUAGGAUCGAUUUCCUUCAAUAAUUUGGAGUUGAACUCUAUUAAGUUCCAAGCAAAAAUAAUCACCCUUAAUUGCACUUAAUUCAAUUUCUCUAAAUUUGAAUCACUUGAAUGCUAUUUGGAUUUGUUUUUAAAAUGGAUUGUGAAACAAAUUAUGAGUUAGAUAAUUAAAUUACAAAACACAAAUAGUCUACCCAAAGAAACCAUUCAUAUAUAUCAUGCCAGGUAAGCUGAUGGAAAGUAUACUUAGGGCCAAUGUGGUAAUAUUAUACUCAAAUGAUGCAUUCGAAAAGUUUGAUCAAUCUAAUAUAUAUAUAGCAAUCAAAUGUCCAUAGCUUGAGCACACAAUUCUACAUACCUUCUCAUAAAAAGCCUUAACUGGCACUUGAAGCAUGAGGGCUACAGCUACAAGCAUGCAGCUUUUUAUAAUAUUACUAGUGGUUUGGCUUCUAAAAAACCAAAUCUUGGAGAGCUAUGGAUGCCUCAGUGUAGAGCGCGAGGCGCUUCUCGCAUUCAAGUCCGGUGUCGUCGAUCCACGAAACUGCUUGUCUUCUUGGGAAGGCUCUAACUGCUGCAGAUGGAAGGGAGUUUGGUGCAACAAUAAGACUAGCAGAGUUGAGAAGCUCAUCCUUAGAUUGGCUUGUGGAACUUCCUCAGACACAAGCUAUGAAGGUUUUGGUGGUGAGGUCAAUCCAUCAUUGCUCUCUUUAAGCCACUUGAAGCACUUAGAUCUCAGCAUGAAUAACUUUAGUACCAGUUUUCCUAAUUUCAUCGCUUCGUAUAAGAAGUUAAGAUAUCUUAACCUCUCUAGUGCUGGUUUUACUGGAGUGAUACCUCCUGAAUUCGGAAACUUGUCAACUCUUCGUUAUCUUGACCUUAGUAAUAGAUACUAUAACGAUAGUACUACCUCUCAUGGCAAACUAUCGUGGAUCAAAGGUCUCUCUUCUUUGAAGUACCUUGACUUGACCUUUGUGAUGCUACAAAAUGCAUAUGAUUGGUUACAAGCAGUGAACAUGUUGUCUUCAUUGCAAGUGCUCCGCUUAGGGAGUUGCUCUCUUCCAAGCAAUCCCGACCCCACUUUUGGUUUCAACUUGACAAGUUUGAGCACACUUGAUCUUCGAGAAAACUACUUCAACUCGACCUUGCCUGAUUGGCUAUGGAGCUUCACUAGCCUAACUGAUCUCAAUCUCAAUCAUAACAAUUUUUAUGGUCCAAUUCCUGUUGAAUUAGGCAAUUUGACUUCACUUACUUCCUUGUGUUUAGGAUCCAACAACUUGGCCGGCCCGGUACCGAAUUCAAUCAAGAACCUUUGCAAAUUAAACACUUUAAGUUUGUCAGGAUGCAAUCUAGAUAGAGAUAUAAUCGAAUUUUUGUCAGAACUCUCUUGCGUCUCUCUUAAUAAUUGGCGACUAUUGGAUUUGCAGAACACAAAUAUAAAGGGAAAUUUGUCUGGCUGGCUUGAACAUAUGACGAGUCUUAAAUAUCUCGAUGUCAGCAAUAAUUUCCUCAAUGGUUCGAUACCUGUAGGAAUAAAUAAACUAUCUAAUCUAGCUUUUCUUGAUCUUCAUGGAAAUUCGUUUGCUGGGGUUAUACUUGAAACUCAUCUUAUGAACUUCACAAGAUUAAAGUUUCUUCGGGUGAGCGGUACAUCUCUUGAGUUGAAGGUGGAGGAUAAUUGGGUGCCCCCUUUUCAAGUGCAAGAAUUAGUUUUGAGGUCAUGUCGAUUGGGUCCACGAUUUCCAAGAUGGCUCCGAUUGCAACAAGAAAUUGAAGUCUUAGAUUUGUCAAACAACUGGAUCGCUGGCACUAUUCCUUAUUGGUUUUGGGACAUAUCUUCAUCUAUCAGGAGCUUAGGCCUUUACAAUAACCAAAUUAGCGGCAUUUUGCCAUCUUCUUUGCGAAACAUGACAUCAUUAGAGGUGUUAAAUUUGCGUUCUAAUUAUUUACGAGGAUUCUUACCAUUUUUGCCUGAUUCUUUGAAAUGGGUUGAUUUCUCAAGCAAUGAGUUUUUUGGAUCACUUUCACAGUCCUUCUUCAAGCCAAACCUAAUAGGCGUUCUUUUAUCGAACAACUCCAUUAGUGAUGAUGGCAUCCCAUCAUCUAUAUGCAAUAUGCAAUCUUUGUCCAUACUUGACAUGUCGAACAACAAUUUAUUUGGUGAGCUGCCAAAUUGCUGGAAUGGUGUAUCAAAUAGUUUGAAUGUUAUAGACCUAUCCAGUAACAAGCUAUCAGGACAACUUCCUGAUUCAUUGGGCUGUGCCAGUAAACUUGAGUUCUUGCACUUAAACAAUAACAGCUUAUAUGGGGAACUUCCUUCGGCUUUACAAAAUUGUCCCUUAGUACUACUUGAUCUCGGGCAAAACAAGUUAUCAGGUGAGAUUCCUAUGUGGCUAGGAAAGUUAACAAAUCUUAUAGUUCUUCGGUUGAUGUCAAAUAUGUUUGCCGGCAACAUUCCUGCAGAGCUCGGACAACUUGAGAAUCUUCAAAUAUUGGAUCUUUCUUGGAACAAUUUAUCUGGAAACAUACCUCAAUCUUUUUGGUAGUUUCCCGGCGAUGGCUUCAAUCGAGUUAUCUAAAUACAUGAUUGAUAUACAUUGGCUUUACGUUAAUUUUUUUCUAGUACAAACAAUCUAUGGAUAUCGAUUCAACUGCAUGUUGUAUAAUUAUUCUAGUCAAAGAUUAUAUAUUGCAACAAAAGGGUCAAAUCUUCAAUUUUCGAAGAAUCUGUUCUUCGAGAAGAGCAUAGACCUCUCAGGUAACAAACUUGAUGGUGCGAUCCCUGCGGAACUAGCCGAUCUAUCAGCGCUGCACAAUUUGAACUUAUCAAGAAAUCACUUAAAAGGAAGGAUUCCUGAUAAGAUAGGAAACUUACAAUCUUUGGAGUCUCUCGAUCUUUCUAUGAACGAAUUAAAUGGAACCAUCCCCCAAAGUAUAACGGCCUUGAAAUCUCUGAGCAACUUGAAUUUAUCAUACAAUAACCUCUCAGGAAGGAUUCCAUCUGGAGAUCAAAUACAGACAUUGGUUGAUCCUACUAUAUAUGCUGGCAAUCCCUAUCUCUGCGGUCCCCCGAUUUCGAAGAAUUGCUCUGGAAAUGAACCGACAUAUACUCCUGAUGAGAAGAAACAGCACAAUGGUGGCUUGGAGAACAUAGAAAUUUAUCUCGUUAUGGGAUUGGGAUUUAUUGUGGGGCUUUGGGGAGUUUAUGGCGUCUUGCUCUUCAAAUCUGCAUGGAGAAAUACUUACUUCUACAUUAUUGACAAGAUGUACUACAAGUUUUUUGCUGGCAAUUGAGACACAGUAAGAUCAUCAUAUGUAUUAGAAGUUGUAGAAGUUUGUAUACAUACCAGUAAAGGUAUGCAAUAAUCUGUUGUAUGCUAAUCGAAAUGGAUUUUGAAGUUUCUGUUCUCAUAAACUUGCUGUUAGUGGAAUAUUCAUUUUUUUAAUUUAAUUUUUCCUGCGUGAUAACAUCUUAACUCUUAUAUAUGUGGGAUUGUAGUACCACUGUUUUCCCAAAAAGAAAAAAAAAAAAAAGAAGAAAUUGCUCUUAGUCUUCCUAUCGAAUUAGGUUAAUUGCACCAUUGGUUCCCGACUUUUACUUAAUUUUUUUGCUUUUGUCUAAGACUCUUUAAUUUUUGCAAUCAAAUACCUAACCUUCAUCAUUUCUUUCAAUUAAUUCUCUGUUGUCAAAAAAAUCAUUCACACUAACAAGAAUUGUCACUUUAGCACCGAACAAUAUUUGCCAUAUUAGCAGAUACCGACUAACCUUAUGAUGUGGUGACUUUUGUCAAAUUUAGCAAAAGUUUUGGACGGUAUAAAUAAUAAAAAAGUUGACCUAAUUGCCAAAUUAAUAAAAAGAAAAGUCAGGGAUUAAAGUGAUAAAUUAGUUAAGCACUGGGGACCAAUAGUGUAAUUAACCCUCUAAAACAAGCAGAUACUAUGAACUUCACAUAUCUCCAGAAUUUAGAGUCUCAAGCACUGUAUUUUAAUCCUGCCACUUAUCAGUUAUAUAUAUUUUUCUUUUUCAAUUUAGAAAAUUAUAGCGCUGAAUUGAAAGUACGAGAUGGAUGCAGCAAGAUGCAGGCAACAAAGUAAUACUGGGGAUAGUUUUAGUUUGGGUAAAAUUACACUUUGGUCCUCAAACUAUAAAGAGCGUGACACUUUGGUCUUUAAAUUUUAAUUUCUAGUUUUUGGCUUGAACUUUCUGAAUUACUGCAAUUAAGUCUCACAAUCUUAUUUAACUUGCCAAAUGUUGGCAAAUUAUUGGUAUUCUGAUUGAAAAUGCGUCAAUAAUUAAAAUGUUACAUCAUUUCUACAUCAAUAUUUUGUCAAUAUUUAACCAACUAAGUUGAGUUGUGGUACUUGAUUGCAAUAAUUCAGAACAAAUCAAAGUUCGAGGACUGAAGUGUUAAACACCUCAUAGAAGGCUUUUAAACUUCCUCAGGUUGAAACGUUACUAAUAAAAGCUAUACAGAAUUAAUUAAGGUGAUCAAAUUGAAGGUUUUAAAGGCCAAGAUUAAUUUACUUUUCAUCUCAAGUUAGCAAAAUGGAGCACCCAUUUAAUUUUCUUGUUUUUUGGGUUUUAUUUCUCUUAAGCAUGACUUAAACUAUUCAAAAUUUAAAUAGUUUUUAAAAAAUUAUCUAAUAAUAAAUUACUGAAUAAAUAAUUAUAUACAUACUAUGCAAAACUCAUGUUAAAAAAAGAUUUUAAAAAUAAAAUUAAAAAAAAAAUUAACAUUUAAAAGAUUUAAUUAUAUUAUGCUACACUGUACUUUAUUUUUUUUUUUUUCACUUUCUACACUAUACUAAUUUUUUUUGGAUAAAAUAUAAAAAAUCCUCAUAUAAAUAUUUUUUUUUUUACUUUUCUAAUUUUUAAAAACUUGUAUUUUAUUUUCUUAACAUUUCCGAAAGGUGAGGAUAUUCAUAAAGGACCACCAUAGGUCUAUAGUUUACUUUUUUUUUUUAAAUGGUAAACUUCGAUUUGUUUAUACUGUUCUAAAUCGUAAUCAUUUGACUUGUUCCAAGCCAUGCACCUCUAGAAGAAAGUCUAUAUUGUGGCCAAGGCUACUAUACUAUUAUGAGUAUUGGAGUCCUCGUACUCAUAAGUUGUUUUCAAUGAUGGAGCUUCCGAAUCGACGAUCCACUCCGUUAAAUAUGAUUUAGAGUAUUUGAAAUUUCUAGAAAAUAAAUUUCGUAAAUUUUUGAAAUUAUAAUAAAGUUCAUCAAGCGGGCAUAAAAUGAACGGUCAAAAUCGAACGACGUCCUAAAAAAGAAUGAUCGGAUCCUUCAAUUCAAGAUCGGAGUUAUUGAUCUUUAUCUAUGUAGUGAAUAGAAUUUUCUAUCAAAAAUUCAACAAAUUUCGAUUCUUUUACACCGUUAAACUAGCAAGUAUCCCAUACUGGCCGUUAAAAAUUGUCAAAUUUGUGACCUCUUGAUCGUAAGGUAAAUGAUAUCGAAAAAUUAUAAAAUUUGAUUUCUAGAAGUUUUAAAUGCUGUAAAUAACGUUUAACGGUGUGGAUCGUCGAUUUGGAAGCUCUAUCAUCGAAAACAACUUAUGAGUACGAGGGCGAUCGUACUUAUAAUAGUAUAGUAGCCGGACCCCUAUAUUGUAACAUUUAUACCUCAUUUUCUAUCCCAUGUCAAUCACACCUCUUUUUUUGAAAUUAAACUACGAUAAUUUUUUUUUUAUUUUAAUAACCAUGAUGUGAUGAGCGAAUCCAAGGAGAUAGAUCUGAUUGGUUGGUAAACUAUAUCAGUAAUAUAACUGAUGCAUUCUAGACUUUUUACACUUAAGCACAUCUUGUGUAGUAGUGGUAGUGCUACACAUACUCUACAGUAUACUCAACACCUAUAGAAUAGAAAAUAAUGAAACCUCAGUUAAAUGUACACGUGGCGUUAAGAGGGAGUCGGUAGUGGUGGGUGUGGGGUGGGGGUGGGGGUGCGGGUAGGGAUGGGGACGGUGCCAGUCCGGGUGAGGGUGGCGUUGGGGUAGGGGUGUAAAAUGAGCCGGGCAGCCCGCAAGUCGCCCAGCAAGACACGAUACUGGGUCGGACCAAGGCACGACACGAGUACUGUAGCAUCUGUGCCGGGCCGGACCAGUCCAGUCUAAUAAAUCAGGUCGUACUAAGCCGCCUUUUUGUGGCCCGGCCUAAUAAGAGCUUUGGGAGUUGGGAGCCAGGGCUGUAUGCCUUUAGCCUCUCGCAAGGCUUUUGGUCCCUUUUGGACCAAAAUACUCUCCCGUUUUGACUGUUGGGAGAGUAUUUUGGUCCAAAAAAUAUUAAAAAUUUUUAAAUGAUUUUAAAAUUUUAUUAUUUUUAUAAAUAUAUUUUAAAAUUUUUUAAAAAACUUUUCAUAUAUUAUUUUUAAAAAAUAGUAUUUUAAUUUUUAAUUUUUUUUAAAUUUUUAUAUAUUUUUAAAUAAAAUUAAAUAAAUAAAAACGAUGGCCUGAAGUCUGACCCGGCCCGGCCCGGCCCGUACCUUCCGGCCCGGGGGGCCGUGCCAGGCUGGCUUCCAGCAUGUUUCAGUCCAGCUUAAUGUAGAAGUAUUGCAUCGCCUCUACGUUAAUAUUUUGUCAAUAUUUAGCCAAUAAAAUUGAGUUGUGGUACUUGAUUGUAAUAAUUUAGAACAAAUCAAAGUUUGAGGACUGAAGUGUUAAACGCCUCAUAGUUGGAGGAUCAAAUGUGUUAUUUACCCUUUCAGAUUUUAACAAAGGCUUUUAAACUUCCUCAGGUUGAAUAGUUACUAAUAAUAGUUAUACAGAAUUAAUUAAGGUGAUCAAAUUGAAGGUUUUAAGGGCCAAGAUUAAUUAACUUUGCAUCUCAAGUUAACUAAAGGGACCACCCAUCUUAUUUUCUUUUUAUUUUUAUUUUUGGUUUUCUUUCUCUUAAGCACGGCUUAAACUAUUCAGAAUUUAAACAGUUUUUAUAAAAUUACGUAAUAAUUAAUUACUGAAUAAAUAAUUAAAUACAUACUAUGCAAAACUUAUGUUAAAAAUAAAGUUAAAAAGUAAAAAAAAAAAAAAAAAGGUUAAAAUCUAGACAGGCUCAUAGCUCGGCACAGCAUGAUGCUAAUCUCAGAUUUAAAAGAUUUAAUUACAUUAUGAUACGCUGUAUCUUAUAAUUUUUUUUUUUUUUUCACUUUCUACACUAUAGUAAUUUUUUUAGCUAAAAUAUAAAAAAAUUCUCAUAUAAAUAUCUAUUUUUUUUAUUUUUUUAAAAUUUUUAAAAAUUUAUAUCUUACCUUUUUAAAAUUUCGGAAAGAUAAAUAAAGAUAUGCAUAAAGGACCACUAUAGGUCUUUAGUUUUUUUUUUUUUUUCAAUUUUAAACUUCAAUUUGUCUAUACUUGUUCUUAGUCCUAAUCAAUUGACUUGUUCCAAGUCAUGCCCUUCUAGAAGCGCCUCUUGUGUAGUAGUAGUGGUAGUGCUGCACGUACUCCAUUAAGUACCCCAACAUGACCUCCUGCGGAGGAGGAUUGGCGAGGGAUUAUCCGUAAAAAAUAAAGUAAAAUCGACGGAUGGCAAGCGAAACUAUUGUUAAGGGGGGGCAGACUCAUACUAGUGAACGUUAUACUUACCAACCUUCCCAUUUACUUCCUCUCGGUAUUUAAGACACCUACAUGGGCCAUUAAAUAUAUUGAGGCACUGCGGAAAGACUUCUUUUGGAAUGGGGCACACAACUCACCAGAUAAGAGUUGUCUAAUAUCUUGGAAAAGCGUUUGAUAAAUCUCAAUACCAAACUAAGUCUAAGUCUACAAUCCGAAAGAGUCGUAACCUCUCCGUCCUUUAUUUUUGUUGAACAUUUUAUUAAAUUGAAUCACUCAAUUAGCUAUUAGCGAUCAAUUAUUUUAAUUUUAUUUGCUAAAAAGUAAUUAAAAUUAUUAUCAAAUUUAAUAAAUUUAUUGCUGAAUUUGAUAAAAUACUUAAUUUAUUUGACUAAAACCACUUGAUUCAAACAAAAAAGAAAAUUUAGGGGUAUGGGCCCAGUCGAGUGCAGGUGGCGGUGGGUAUGGGCCCAGCCCUUUCUUAAUUUUUUUAUUUUAUUAUUUUUCUCCCUUCACUGAUUUGGACUUAGAGAAUCAAGCUCACUUAAAUAAAAUAUAAAUUUUAAUUUUAUAAUAUUGGUCACUUAGAUAUGAAUUGUACAAUAAAAAUAAAAAAGAGAUUGACAAAAUUUCAGCUACUUAAUUAUUUUAAUAAAUUUAGUUGCUAGAAUUAUAUGUAGUCAAAAUAUUAUUGACUGAUUCAAAUUUAAUAUAUAAAAAGGUUGGAUAGUAAAAAUAAAAUUUUGAAAGGUUAGACAGCUAAUUCAAGAUGGUUCAUAUUUCAGAAAAUUCUAUAUGUUUUUAUUUUUAUUUUAAUAGCAAACUUCAAUGGCAUAUUUAUCGUCUGAUGAGCGAUUAAUUUUAUAUUUAAAAUCUUUUGAAAUAUCCAAAAUAUAAUUAGUCGAUUUUUAAUUUUAACAAUUAGGCAUUCUAAAUUAUUAGAUAGUUUAACAUAUUCGUUCCUCAAAUGAAAUUACUAAUUAAACAAAAGCGAUCGAUGCCCAACUCUGUAUUCGUCUGGAAUUAAAUUAAAAUAUAAAAAAGAUAAAUUAUGCUUUUGGUCCUUAAACUAUAAGACGGAUGACAUUUUAGCUCUCGAAUUUUAAUAGAUUACAUUUUCUUACUCAAACUAUAAGGCAAGUGGCGCUUUAAUCCUCAAACUUUAAUUAGUUAUAAUUUCUAUUUCCAAUUACGAGGCAUAUGAUAUUUUAAUUUUCAACUUUUAUUGUUGUUAUAAAUAUAAUCUAUCAUGCUUAUUAUUUACAAGCAACAAUAAUAAACAAUGGAUGAAAGGAAUUGAAUCCGCAACAUUACGUGGGACCUAACGAACGGGCGGAUUGGGUGGCCCGUGGGCCGGUCAUUCUAUCUGUGGGUUAUAUGGGCAUGGGUACGAUUUACUUGUAAUUUUUUGGGUGGCCAAUAUAUUUACUCAUACCCGCCUGCAGGUGAGCGAAUGGGUAUGCAGGUUACCCACAACUAUAUACAUAUAUAUAUAUAGUAGGGCUGCUGUGCUCUUAGGAGCACGGAGGCCUCCGUGCUCCUGAGCCGUCUUUGAUGAUGGAAUUUUCGAAUCGACGAUCGGCUCCGUUAGACUUGAUCUAGCGUAUUUGAAGUUUCUAGAAAAUAAUUUUUGUGAUUUUUUGAUAUCAUUUACCUAGCAAUCGAAACGAUUCAAAAUCAAUAAUUUUUAACGGCUGAAAAUAAAAAUCCUAUAAAAAGUAGUGAUAUAGCGCUAAAAUUUUCGAUCAGAAAUGUUGAUCUUGUUGUAGAUAGUAUAAAAAAAUUUUGUAUCAAAAUUUCAUCUGAUUUGAAUACUUCUGCACCGUUAAACUUGAAAACGGCAGAUAUCAAUUAUUAAAAAUUAUUGAUUUUAAAUCCUUUCGAUCACUAAGUAAAUGAUAUCAAAAAAUCGUAAAAAUUAUUUUCUAGAAACUUCAAAUACCUAGAUCAAGUCUAACGGAGCCGAUCGUCGAUUCGAAAAUUUCAUCAUCGAAAAUGGCUUAGGAGCACGGAGGCCUUUGUGCUGCUGAGAGCACAGCAGCCCUACUAUAUAUAUAUAUAUAUAGAACUAGGCUGGAAUACUAUUAAUAGCACCAAUGACUUGGUGCUAUUAAGUUUUCUGUCCUUGGAUUAAAGGAUGUGCGGUUAGGAUGAUGCGGGCCUCCUAGGGUUGAGUCGGUGGUUGGUUGAAUAGUAUAAUCGAAUGGAUGAAAAUGAUAAAAGAAGUAAAUCUAGUGGUAGAAAACUUGACAGCACCAAAUGCUUCGUGCUAUCCCUAUACUACUAUACUAUCAAUAUUACCAAGUCUACGGUACUAUUGAGUUUUCGGCCGUUGGAUGAAUAUAUAUAUAUAUAUAUAUAUAUAUAUAUAUNNNNNNNNNNNNNNNNNNNNNNNNNNNNNNNNNNNNNNNNNNNNNNNNNNNNNNNNNNNNNNNNNNNNNNNNNNNNNNNNNNNNNNNNNNNNNNNNNNNNCAGAACACGAGCUAAAUUUUUUGGCUCGAUACUUUAACGACGAGCCAGCUCUUGUUGGGCUGGUUUAUUAAACGAGCCGAACACGAGCCGACCCAGCUCGCUCGUGUUCGGCUCAUUUACACCCCUACCUCCAUGGCUAUAAAAAUGCAUUAGAUUUUUGUUCAUGCAUUUGUUUCAUAAAAUAAUACUCACAUUUGGGCAGUAGUUACACAUGCUUUAAUUUUCUCUCUUCAGUGCAGCUUCCACACUCUGGGAUCAACUUUAGGUAAUCUUCUUCUUACUUCCUGUAGUCGAGUAUAAGCAGUGUGAGAAAUUUUUAUUGGUCAUUUUGCAUUAAAAUGUACUUAAUUUCCCCGUUUUUUUUGCAUCUUUCUGCACUCUUUUUUUUUCUUGUUUUUGCAACUUCUGACAGAAUUUUUUGUUUUUUUUUUUAAAGAGGACUCUUGAGUGAAAAUUUUCUUCAUAGAUCUUAAAAAAGAAAAAAAAAAAAGAAUAAGAAAUUUUUAGUUAAAAUAUUUUUGUGCAUCUUUCUGUACUCUUUUUCUUUCUUGUUUUUGCAACUUCAUAGAUCGUUGUAAAACCAUCCCGAAAAUUUUUUUUUCGGUUGAAAAGUUAAAAUCUACCGUUUGAUUGCUUGUAAAAAAUUUUUCCCGGAAAAUUUUUUUUUACAGAUUCGGCGUAAAAUGGGAGUUUUCGUUUUCCGCUCGAAUCGAGCGAAAACGAAAAGCGCGGCGUUGGGCACGCCGCGCGGGGGAUGUAAAUCACGCGGUCCACAAGAUCCGCUCCAUGUCGUGGACCGCAUGAGGAGAGGAUGGAUCUCGAUAUAGUACAGAUACAGUAUAUAAUCAUGUUAUUAUAAAUAUUAUUUAUAAAAUCUUAGCUUACUAUUAAAGUCAUUAAUUAUGAUAUACACCUCAUUAAUAAUUAUAGUCAUAUAAAUUUAUAAUUGUAUAAAAUAUAUUUAUAUUAUUAAUUAUCAAACUAGCUUAAAUUAUCAAUAUUAUAUAAAGUCAAUAUGAUAUCAUUAUAUAUAUAUUAUAAUAUAUAAUUAUACUAUAACAUAUAUAUUAUACUUACACACUAAAUAAUUUUUAUUUAUAUUUCUCUUUCUUUUCCUAUUUUUCUCUUCGCAACAAAUCUUAAUGAAAAACAUUUUUUUUAUAUCCCCCUGCGACCAAACCGCUAAGGCGUAAAGUUAAUUUCCCUCUCGAAAAUUUUUGUCCACAAAAUCCUUUUAUUUUCGGGCAACGUUACUAUAUGGAAUCGCCCACCUUAGUAAAUUGAAAGAAUUUCUAAAUUUUUUAGUAAACAUGUAUAGAUAUCAUAUACUAAUCACCCUCACCAGAUUUCUCCAUACUGGACUAGAUAAUAUUAUAAUUCUUGAUUUCUACCCUAAUACCUUUUAACCUAUUUGAUUUGAACAGUUAAUCUUACGUCUUAUACUUUAAAUUUUGAGUACUACUUACCCCCUAAUUUAUCGACAUACUUUAUAGAUUAAUUAAAUACAUCUAUAGCAAUUCAUAUAACUGUACCAAUAUUAAAUUAUCAAUAUGCUAAUAUUUUACUUACUUGGCAGAGCAUCGCCUAUUGAUCUUAAAUUCAGACAACAUCUGAUAAGAUUGGUGUCUAAUAUAAAAAUUUUGAAAUGAUACGGUAGUACGAAUUCGAAAAAUGUCUGAAUAGUAUUAGGCGACGGGUUUAAGGCCCUUGGAUCUAUUGUUUAACAUAUGGGGCUCAUCAAUCGCUGCCUACGGGUUUAAUAUCAUAAUGAUGUAUUUGGAUUAUUUUCUCUAAAUUAAGGUGUAAGAUUUUCUUUUAUUUGGGUUGAUUUGUGCUGUUAUUUUAUUAGUGAUGAGAAUUUAUACAGCAUCCGCAUUAGGAAAAAUUUCCCCCUGACCUUUUCUUGUUCUUACCCACAAUGAUUUUUUUUUUAUGCUUAUUUGUUUUUUCUAUUGUGAUUUGUUAUUGUUAAUUAAAAUACAAUAAUUCUUAUGAAAUUUAAUUGCUAAGAGAAUAUUUCAUAUAGGCGAUUUUAUUUCACUGUUGCGCACCAAAGUCUAACUUAGCAUACUCGCAACUCAUAAUUGUAUGAAAUAUUUGAUGUUUUUGGUAAUUAAUACACUAGCUUAUGAAUCAGAUUUGUUGGAUAUAUAUUUGUAGCAAUGCCUCCUGAUACACCCAAAACAUCCUUAACCAUUAAAAUUUUUAAAUGACGGCCAAGAUGCCCGCUUUGAAAGAGGAAAUGACCAGUAUUUGAUAACAAUCGUAUCAGUCACCUAACAUAAUUGGCGCACAUUUUUUCUUUUUUUGCAACAAGGGCCAUUUUGGAAAAUUUACAUCUUAUAACAUAUCCUCUUAGCUAGAAAGGUUUGGCGUUACAAGUAAGGAGAUUGCUGAAGUACCUUUCCUAAAUUAACUUUCUUUACUAACUAUAAUGCUAUUCAAAUUUUAAAUAAAAAAUGAUAUAUUAUUGAAAUCAUUUAGUCUACCCCUUAAACUCGAACCUGACUUAAACCAAGGUUAAAAGUUUAGCCAAUUUUGAAUUUAUUUGUAUGAUUUGAUUAUGAAAUAAACUCUUAAAUUUGUUUCUAAUUUAAAAUUUUUUGCAUCGAAAAUUAUAUGUAAAUAUAAAAUAUUGCAACUGAAAAAUUAUAUUAUACAAUUUCUUAGUAAUUGAAUAUGAAAUAUUAUCCCCAAGUGAAUGUUUGAAAGUUAAUUUUCAAACAUAGAAUAAUUUAAUUUAAAUAGUUAACAAAUUUUAUUUUUUUAACUAUAAUAUAAACUAAAUCUAAAUUUAAAAUUUAAUUUUAAUCAAUAUUUUUGAACUUUAAUAUUGUUUUUACUAUCGAAUGAACAAUUUGAAUUUAAUUUUAAAAAUAGAAGCCUUUAAUUUAAAUAAAAAAUAAAAGUUAUGUUUAUAAAUACAGCAUAAUUUACAAUUUCACAUAAGUUAAUUGUUAAUUUGAAAUUUCGUGUCAUUUUAAUAUCAAAUUAACAAUUUGAUUUGAAAUAUACUAAUCAUUUAAACAUAAAUUUUUUCAUUCAGAAAAUUAAAAUUAAAAUUAAAUUUGAAUUUAAUAUACACAAUUAUAAAGUUUAAGCUCAAAUUUAUUUUUAAAUUCAAUUUUAUAAAUGUUUAUUACUUAUCAAAUUAGUACUAUCUAAUUUGGUAAGUAACAAAAUUAAACAAGGAAACAUAUAUUUGUGUAGGGUUGAUUAAAUUUGGUAAUUAGUUUUUAUUUAUUUUUCCAUAUUACCCUUACGAAUAGUAACAUGUUGAGCAGGUUACUACCUAGUGUAUUGAAGCAUUUCUCUAUAUUUGUUUGUUUGUUUUUUUUUUUCUUUAUUGAACAUGAAAAGAUAAUAUUUUGGCCUUGGUUGGAUGAACUUAGGUUUUCUUUUUUUGUUUUUAAACUUGGCUUCUAUGUGACCAAAUGUGCCUGCAGCUGCUUUCUGUUUUCUUUGUUAUUGUUGGUUAGCGUGCAAUGCUCUGAUCAGAUGCCAAAUAGCCUCGUCUAAUUAUUGUUUAGAAAAAAAAAAGGACAUAGAAGCAAGAAGAAAUUAGUGCUUUCUUUUUGUUCCUUGUCGCAAACAAUCUGUCACUUGUGGAAAGAAGCAAUCAAGCCUAACCUCAUGUGAAAGUAUAUAUUUUUUCUUUCUCUUUUUUGUGAAUUACAAUGUUUGAUGUUGUUAGAUAUACGAACAACCAUUAUUCUCUAAAAGUUUAAGCUGCAAUAAUACGAUGUUCUUAAGAAAGAAAUUAAUAAUGCUGAGAGGCUGAUGGGACUCGAACUCAGGACUUCUGCCGCUCAAAAUACUAUAGUAAUGUUUAUAGGUUUAGCCCUAUUUUAUCUUAUAUAUAGGACUAUUCUAAAUCCCUACGGUGUCACAUUCUUCUCCCUUUUAAACCCCGAUAUUCUCGCUGGGCUCAAGCACCCGCCCUGACAUUCCCGUUAGGCUCGAGCACCCUUGUCACAUUCCUCCCCCUUAUGCCCUAACAUUUCCGUGAGGCUCGAGCACCCACCCUGACAUUUAGAUUCUGACUCAGUCGGGACUCAUCUCUCUCAGUGCUCAGUCGAGACUCAUCUCACACUUCAGGUUGGUAAUUGGCUCAUGUUCUUAACGAGAAAAUUAAUAAUGCUAGAAGGCUGGUAUGAUUCAAACUCAAGACCUCCUACUCUGGAACCAUGUUAAAUAUAAUGAAACAGCCUUUGUUCUCUAAAAGCUGAAACUGCUAGCUAGAGCACGAUGUUCUUAACAAUUAUAUUCGACAUAUGUUUCAAUAUCAGCUACAUAUUUCUCAUCCUGCUCCUUUAUCCUAACUACUAUUGCCGUUCAAAUAACUUCAGGAUUGGAUUGCUGCUAUAACAGUAUAACAUCGCAACAGCAGAGUUAGGCAGCAUGGCCGAAGCUGCGGUGUUUCAUGUACUCAACAAGAUUGCAGCUUCGUUGGCAGGUACAAUAAGCGAUGAAUUAGUCAAAGAAGUGUCGGCCUUGCUAGCAGUCAAGAACAGCAUGAAACAAAUCAAGAGCGAGUUUGCGGUGAUGCGAGCCUUUGUAAGUCAAGUCAACGCAUACGAUUCUCGUAACGAAACCUUGGCGGCGUGGCUCGAACAAGUCAAGAAGGUUGCAUUCGAAGUCGAGGAUAUAAUCGACGAGUACACUUAUCUCGUUGGGAAAGAAAACGUCAGCAGCUUCUGGAAUUCCCUGAAGCAAGCGUUUCGUCAUUCGAAAAACAUCGCCGCAUGGCACGGUAUCGCCGAUCAGCUCAAACAGGUGGAAACUCGUCUAGAGAGGCUCACAAAAAUGAGACACCGGUACGGCAUUUCAGUGAGAGAAACCGCGUCGAAUUCCACUGCUCUUAGGCAGCGGCGAGCGUUCGAUAUUCCGCACUUGAGCAACGAAGACGAGAUCGUGGGGAAUGAUGAGGAAACCAAAAGGUUGAUUGAAUGGCUGACCGACGGGAGGGAAGCUCGCGCCGUCAUUUCCAUUUCGGGCAUGGGAGGGUUGGGUAAAACAACGCUGGCGAACAGCAUUUUCAAGAAUCCGACAGUUAAACGCCACUUCAACUGGAGCGUAUGGAUCUCCGUCUCGCAAAGCUAUCGAGUCGAAGAUCUACUGCGAAGGAUCUUAACACACAACACGGGCAAAAACGAGGAGAUUCUAAAUGGCAUCGACACUAUGGACCGGAUUGAACUAGCGGAGAAGGUUCAAAUCUAUCUGCGGGAAAAAAGGUACUUGAUCGUCUUAGAUGAUGUUUGGAGCAGAGACCCCUGGUCUUCGUUGGAUCACGCGUUCGUGAGAAACAAUUUCAGGAGCAGAGUGAUCAUCACGACGCGGACGGAAGAUGUGGCUUCGUUGGCGGACGAGAAUCGCCGCUUACGGCUUAGCACUUUGCCGAAGGAGGAAGCGUGGGAUCUGUUCUGCAAGAAAGCGUUCUCGAAGCUCGCGGAGAAAUGCUGCCCGGAGGAUCUUAAGGACUGGGCUGAAAAGAUUGUGGACAAGUGCCAAGGGUUGCCGCUCGCUGUCGUGGCGAUCGGCAGUCUGUUAUCCUACAGACGGCAGCAGGAGCAGGAGUGGAAGUCGUUCUACGAUCAGCUUAGCUGGCAGCUGACGAACAAUCCGGAGCUGAACUGGGUGGCGAGCGUUCUAAAUCUCAGCUUCGACAACCUGCCGAGCUAUCUAAAGAACUGCUUUCUGUACUGCGGCCUAUUCCCAGAGGAUUAUCUGAUAAAGCGGAAAUGGUUGAUCAGGCUGUGGACGGCCGAAGGAUUCAUCGAAGAAAGGGGGCCGGAGACGACAAUGGAGGAAGUGGCCGACGGCUACGUGAAGGAACUCGUUCAUCGAUCGAUGCUACAGGUCGUGGAACGGAACGACUUUGGAAGAGCGAAAACGCUUCAAAUCCACGAUCUCGUGAGGGAAAUAACUCUGACCACGUCGAGAAAGGAAAAAUUUGGGAUCGUGUGCAACGGCCCGGGGGCAACGGUGUUGAGGGAACAAGCUCGUCGCGUGUCCGUUCAUAAAGACGGAUUGACCUCACAACCAAAUGGAAAUUUACGACAGCUUCGCUCGUUUAUUUUGUUCGAUAAACAACUGCCGCCAUCUAGUAUCGAAAACGCUUCAUCAAGUUUCAAGUUACUGAGGGUGCUCUGCUUGCGACACGCCAAGAUGGAGCAGAUCCCGGACGCGGUGUUCGAUUUGUUCAACCUGCAUUAUCUGGACUUACAAUACACGGAGGUGAAGAGCAUCCCGAAGUCGCUGGGGAAGCUCCAGAACCUGCAGACGCUCGACCUGAACGUGACCCGCGUGGAGAAACUGCCGCGUGAAGUCGCGACGCUGACGAAGCUGCGGCACCUGUUCGUGAGCUGCUACUACGACUUCGAGUGCAGAAUUUUCGACUGCUUCAGCGCGGUGUCGGUCCCGCACGACAUCUGCCGCCUGAAAGGCCUGCAGACGCUGCUCAACAUCAAAGCCGACAAGUUCUUGAUGCAGAACAUCGGAAGCUUAACGUCACUACGUAAUCUUUUUGUCAUGAAAGUGCGAGGCGCCUACUGCACGGAGUUGUGGGCCUCCCUGAAAAUGAUGCCCGGGCUCGUCACGUUGGGCGUCGUCGCGAGCGACAAAGACGAAUUGCUUCGUCUGGACAGCGUGCACCCGCUGCCGAGCCUGCAUAAGCUCUACUUGCAAGGAAGGCUGGACGAGGACGAGGCUCCGACCGUGUUCGCCAGCUUCGGAAGGCUCCGAGACCUGGCACUAGGCUGGUCAGGGCUGCAGAAUGAUCCAUUGCAUGCCUUCUCGCACAUGUCGAGCCUCGUAAACCUCCAGCUCUACCGGGUCUACAAGGGGCCGCGGUUGAGCUUUCGCGCCGGCUGGUUUCCUAGGCUGAAAAACCUGUUUUUAGCCGACAUGGCGCAAGUGAGUGUUAUUGAUAUCGAAGACGGAGCCAUGGAAAGCUUGUAUCAGCUGCGGCUUAUCGGCCUGUCGAGCUUGACGGCUGCACCGGCGGGUGUCGUUUACCUGCAGUCGCUGCAGGAGAUGUAUCUCACCGAUAUGCCGCAGGAGUUCAUUGGGAGCCUCGAAACAAGUGAAUUUCCAGAAUAUUUGUCAAUAUAUAUAUUUUGAUAUUGUUUUUAUUCUUCUUGCAUCCACGCACUACUAAUACUCUAAUUAAUCCAAAUAUUAUCUCAUUGGCUACAUUGCACUUUUGGUCCUCAAUCUAUGCAACAUGUGACAUUUUGGUCCUCAAAUUUGAAUUUGUUAUAAUAUUUAGUACGUACUUUCUAUUUAGUUGCAAUCGAGUGCCACAUGAGUGUACUUUUGUUAGUUGAAUAAUGAUGUGUCGUUAAUGUGACGAUAAUGUUGCAUCUUAAUUAUUCAUAUAUUUCAUCAAUUAUAAUAAUACUGUAUCACCGUCACAUCAACGAGACAUCAUUAUUUAGUAAAUUAAAUUGUAUUGAAGUAUUUGGUUGCGACAUUCUAGGAUGUUUGAACAAAAAAAUUUCUACAAUUUAAAGUUCAAGUACCAAAAUGUAACACAGUUGAUAGUUUGAGAACUAAUAGUGCAAUUUAGCCUAUCUAAUUCUUCUCGUCAUCAAAUUUAUCAUCUCCAAACAUUUAUAUUUAUUCUUAUUUCUUCCCACUAGAUUUCUUUUCGUCCUGAGGUUGGAAUUAGAUUUUUUUUUUCCUUUUUUUUUUUAUUUUUGCAUGUCAAAUGAAUAAAAGAAAUUAUGGUACUCCAACUCUUUGACUCUGGCUCCAAUAUGGAGUCUGUAAAUAUUUGUAGCCUUAACUAAUCAAAGUGCAGGGUAAUACCGAAGAGGGAAUUGAUACUAACUUGUUUCCAUGAAUUAUUAGAAUUUUUUUCUAUUUUGUUUUAAUUUUUGGUGCUUGCAUUAGAAAAAUUCUUAAAAUCGAGGGAUUUAAGGAGUGAAAUUAAGACUUAUUUUAUAUAAAUAAGAUAAGGCCUUGUGCAUAAAAAGUUUUUGAGAAUUAAAAUUUAUUUUGAUUCCGCAUUAUUUUUCUUAACACGUAUGGCUGGAAUUCAAUUUGUGUGACUUUUUUUUUCUUUCUUUCUUUUUUUCCUCUCUUUUCCCUCCAUAUAUGCUAAUCUUGAUGCAGUAUUUAGCACACUACUUUUAGGGUAAAAGAGUACGUAUGGAGGUUCAUAUGAGUAGGAUGAGAUUGGAUCCAGAUCGGUGGAGCUUCCGCUGGUGAGGGCUAAAAUUAAAGACAAAUAAUAAUUUGCUCUCAAUCCGUCCCGAUCCGCUAAAAAUAUUGAGUGAGAGAUGGAGGAAGAGAUGAAAAACCCUUCCUUUGAUUUUCGAAUGAAGCGGUAAGUAGUAGUAAAAAAUAAGAUAAAAAUUAAUUUGUUUCGAAUCAGCCCCGACCCGCCAAAAAAAUGGAGCAAAAAAAAUGGAGCAAGCGGUAGGAGACUCCUCCCGCCCCAGGAUCCGCCACAUUUGCGUCCCUCCAUAUGAGGUUCAUCUUAGAGAUCUUCUUUUCCUUUUUUUAAAAAAAAAGAAAACCUCAAAUGAUUCCUUUAGUAAUUAUUUAAAAUCUUCUACAUCAUACAUGCCAAAACUCAUAAUGAUUGAAGAGAUUAUAACGCAAAUCGCAAGUUUAGAAAACCUUCUAAACAAUAUCGAAAGAUUUUAGGGACUACCAGGCGAACAACCUUAUUCAUCCGCAAGUUUCAUAUAAAUUAUUAUUCACCCAUAAUUCUUGUUCAGAGAAACCUACAUAUAAAAAUAAAAAAAAGGACUUAAAUGCAUGUGAAAUUACUUCGAGUUUAAAGCUCAUUAGCAACAGAAUGAUCACAUUUGGGCCGGUAGGUUUUCAUUUUAACAUGGCUUCACAUUCAUGUGUAUCAGAUGUCAAUGAGCUAAGUAGCUAAGUUUACAGAAAAGCGAGCACAAAGAUAUAACACAACAAGAAUUGUUUAAUAUUCUGAAUUGGAUUGAAGAGAAUAAGAUGACUAAGUAAUAUCAAAAGAGAGAAAGGAUUUACUGACUCAAAGGUGUCGGAUAUCACAACGAAUAGGGAGCGGAGCCGAUGUGGUAUACAACCAAAUGUUUUGGAAUGAAAUCCCAUUUUAUCUCUACCUCCAAAGGACCAAAAGUUCUGCAAGGAUAAGGCCCUAGGAUGAGAACAUCAAAUCCACCAUUUUCGUCGCUAUGAGAUUCGCGCAUUUUUACUUGAUGAACGAAAAGUGGAUUUGAUGGUCUCGCUGUGGGGACCAUCCACAUAAAGUUUUUGUUCCCUCUCAGGUGGUGGAAUUCAACAAUCCCAUCCAAAGAGAACGAUAUUUAAUCCGAUCGGAUUCCUCUCAGCAACUCCUGACACCUCCAAAUAACAUCUUGUUCUAUCCAAUCCAAUCAUGGAUAACAAACAAAACCCAAAGGAACUAUCAUUACACACGAAGUUAAUCAGUGAGGCAGGUUCUUAUCAUCAUAAAUAAAUAUCCCCCCUAGGAUGUACACACACACACACAUAUACUCGACUUGAUCAAUGUAGAGAUCUCAACACCAGAUUGAAGUAUCACCAAUAAUUUUCACAUUAUUUGGUCUCACUUGUGCAUCAAAGUCCUGCAGAAUUUAACCAAUAUAUAUAAUCAUUAAAACAUAGGAUAAAAAAUAUUAAUGUCAAUGGUUCAGAAACCAAGGAGCGCAAACAAAUGAAUAUAGGGAUUAAUGUCCUCAGCAUCAAGGUGGUAUAAUAUAAAAAUUAGCAGAGACUAUCAGAAUAUAAAACUUGUAAUUAUGUUAAAACAGCAUUUGUGAAAUAUCUGAUUAAAAGUUGUUUAUGCUACAUGAUACUGUGAAAAGAAUGAUGGAUUCUUGGAUUAAUUAUAGGAUUCCUUUUUCUCUCUCUUCUCUCUCUCUCUCUUUUUUUUUUUUUGACAUAGUUCCCAAAGUCUGUUUUGCAUGGCAAUUAGAUCCUUUCAGUGUAUAUUGGCUAAACUAGACGCCAAGUCAGCACCAUCAUUAGACUUUGCUUAGCAAAAUGCAAACUCCGAAGAUGAAAAUGAAUGCGGAGUCAACCAAUAGGGACUAAAUGGUCGCAGUUAAAAUUAUGAGAACGAAAUCUAAGUACACCAGCAGGGACUAAAUGGCCAUGGUUAAAGUACUAAGAACGAAAUUGGAGUACACGCUAAAUUUACACCAGCAGCUUCCAAACUAACCCUACUUUCAUGAUAGCAGCAGGCAGUUCACGAACAUUCAUGAUGCAUGAUAGAGGAUUUGGUAAAUAGAAAGCUCAUUAUUCUUACAGAACUCAAUGACAAAAGUAAUUUUUGCGAAAAGUCAAUAGUUUGUUAUACUAGUUGAUACAACAUUAGUUUCAUAAGAAACUAUAGCAGUAAUUCUACAAUUUAAAGAUCCCGUACCUGUCUACAUUGCCAUUUCUGCUUGUAACGCCGCGAGUUCAUCCUCUUCAGCUGUAGUUGCAGUAGUUUUCUGAGGAGUGGCCCGAGCCGGUUGCUUACCAGCUGGCACAUGUACUGGAGCAACUGGAGCAGUCGUAGCUGGUUGGAGAAGCUGUUCCUCCAACUCUGCUCCCUCAAGCUCUUCAAGUUCUGCUUCCAAUUCAUCCUGCCAAUUAUGGAAAGCAUUAACAGGUAAUCAAUAUGCCAAAGAAAGAAAGAAGAGCAAGCGGUUAAGUCAUUUGAAAGAAAAAAAUAAACAGCAAUACCUCAUCAAAAUCAGCAGCAAUUCCGAUAGGCGCCGAUAAUGCUUCCUGUAUUUGUUUCAUGUUCUCUGUUUGUUCAUUUAUUUCAUCCAUUGUCUUGUCAACAUCAUCAAUAUUUCUGCAAAAGAAGAAAAAGGGAAAUAUUAGCAGGUAUCAUUACUCAAACCCAAACUAAAGGAAUCCUCGCAUACAAAAUAAUAAGCUUCUAAUAUAGCCCUGCAAAAUCAUCUGUUUCCACAUAUACUCCUGUAAAACCUGAAUUUUGGAGUAUAUAUGUAGAAAUUCUUCGAAACAGCAGUUUCGUGCAAAAACAAACUGAAGUGGGGGAGACAUCUAAACAAUGGCAAGAAGUUGGUUAGAAGGGUGUAUAAGUAGUUAAUUUUUUGAAGGCCGCAUAUGAAAAUUUAGAUUCAGCAAGGCUUUACUUUGCAAUUAGAUACAUAGGGAUAUAUGUAUGUAAAUAUCUCAAGCAUAUUUAAGAACUAAAAUAUCAAGAAGACCCUGUAAAGAUACAUAAAGACAAAUAAAAACCUUUCCAAAGGGCAUUUAUGAAAAUCAUCGAGUGCAUUUUCAAGGGCAUUUUCAAGAAUUUUCACAUAUAAAUGGGCAUUUAUAGUAUUUCCACUUUUCGAGGGCAUCUAUGGAACACAUGUACUUGGAGUCUUGGAGGGUACAUAUGUAAUUUUGACCAAAAAAUUUCGUAGAGUUUUGACGGGUGCAGCAAAUAAGUAUAAAGUAGACACGACAGCUAAUAAAGACAGCAAGAUGAAUAUCACGUAACUUCAAGACAUUGCCACAAUUCAAAGAACUCGACAAGUUUGAAGUAGCUACUCACGUGGCUUUCUGCAUAGCCUUCAUUGCAGCAGCUCCUGUUCUUAAUGCAUCAACAGUCUCCGUUGUGGUUUUUGCACCUUUCAGCAUUAUCAUCUGUUCCAGAUAAUCAAUGAUAAGUUCUCAUGAAAAAUUAUAGAAGUUAAUGGCAUAAAUGCAGAAGGAAAAUAGUAUGUUUAUUAAUUUCUCUCUGUACCUGAUCAUGAAUUCUUAACUGGAAAUUUCCAAGCUGUUCAAUUUGCUGCUCGUAAAGUCUCUUCCUCUUCAAGCAUUGUAUGGCAGCUAAUAUUCAAAAAUAAAAAAGAUCAGAUAAGUAGUACAUAUAAAAAUGAAAAAACGACUAGUACUACUGCUACUUAUUUUCAAAGUUAAACCACAGGUAAUACAAGUAUGUGAAAGCUACCUUUUUGUAAAAAUUAUAUAGUCAUGGCAAAGUACAUUUAGACAUGUUAUGAACAAUAAUAUAUCCGUUACGCAGGCAAAUGCUACAAGAUUGAAAAAACAAAAUGCAUAGGUUCCUUUACGGAAAAAAAAAGAAAAGAGGGGGAGGCGACUGGCAUACCCCUUUUGUUCUUUGCUCUGGUGAACUCCUUGGCCCUCUCAACCUCAGCAGCUGCUUUCUUCAGGAGGACUUUCUCCUUCUUUUCUAGCAUCUCAAGUGUCUAAAAUACAUUAUAGAAAAGUUAGACAAAUCAUGUAAAUAAUAAUAUACAACUACAGUAUCUACAAACUACAUAUAUUGAAGAAGGUCUCUGUGUUAAUAUAUGUAAACUGCACUCUAUAUGGGCAGAUGGGGAUAGGCUAGUAUAGAAUUUUAUAUUAGGCAAGUCAACCAAAUCCAAACCAAAGUGUCGAACAAGCUUGCGCAGAAUAUCCUACCCAUCAAGGUUGGAAUAGAACAACCAAACUCAAAGAUAUCCAACGACUGGUGGUUUAUCUAUAAUUCGAACCUCCACGUGGUUAUCCCAAAACAGCUUAUAGAUGCAAUCUCCCUUGGACCGUCAACAUGGAAGCUCAAUCCUGGUAAGUGACUCUCUAAGUAGCUUUAAGGCCCAAUAGACCAUGCAAAAGUACGGCUUAUUCUUUUGAAUAAUUGAUAUUGGCUGUAGUGUAAUGUUUUCACGACCAACACAUCUAUAUCGAGAAAGAUAUUUUUAAUACCGAAGUCCGUAUACAUCUAUUCAAGUAACUAGCCACUUUUAAUUUGUUUCUUAUCGUUUAUUCAGCAAUAGACAACUCUGUUCCCAAGGCUUCAUAUUCUGCAGCAUUAUUAAAGAAUGAAACCAUAAGUUUUACACAAUAAGAAUUCUGAUCUCCUUUUGGUGAUUCCAAAAUUAUUCCUACGCCAGUUUCUUCCUCGGAUAUGGAUGAUUCAUCACAGUUGGAAGUCUAUUGCUCAUCGUUUCCUAUUGUCUCUAGAUCAAAGACUUACCCAACAUAAAAAUCACUUUAGGCUUGUUCAUUCCUAUUUAUUCUCAUAAAGUGGUGCUUAUUUUCAUCCAGAAUCAUGAAAGUAAAAGAAGAAAUUCACCAACAUCUUAAAGGGAAGCUAUAAGAAUAAUUUGUUCAUUUGACCCAGGAAAUGAAGGCACAGAAUUUACUUGAAACAAUUCUCAAGCAACUACUUUACAUGAAUAAACCCACGGCAAAUAAAGUUUUCUCUAUUUCAGCAUAUUUAGAAACUCCAGUAGAAAAGCUAAAAAGGAGACGAUUUCUGUAAAUCCAUGAAUGGCGGGAAAAAAUUGUGAAGGCAUAAAAUUUUGGUGAAUAAUAGUAUGGCAUGGGUUACUUCAGCGCCGUAGCGCCUGGUACUUGGACAUCGGCUCGAGGCAUUUUCUCUGAAAUAAUCAACCCCAUCCGCUCACUACGCGAAUAAACCAGUGCCAAGGCAGAUGAUCCAUUAACAAUUACCAGAAAAAGGAACAUCAACAUAUAUUCUUUAUACUAUCAACAUUACAUGGUACUAGUUUCUUGUUUACUAUUCCUGUGCUAUACUUUUCUCCUAGUAUAGUUUGAAAAAGCACAAAAAACAAGUCAAUAACAAGACAAAAGAAACAUUAACAUCGCAUCUACAAUCCAAACCAUGUACUAAUUCAAUUCAUAAACAAAAACUUAAUAUUUCUAAGAACCCUUCCACUUUCUAAUCAAAUAUUGCAAAGUAACUAUCAAUUAUGAAAAGAUGAUGAAAGUAUUAAUGAAAACAAUGAUUAAGAGAUUGAGUAAAACAAAUUGAAUAAGUAAACAAAUACCUCAUUUAACUUGUCCAAAGUGGCCAAGGCAUUAGUUUGCUCCUUUGGCUUCCCAAAAAUCCUACUAAACAUGGCUUAUAGCUUCAAUUAACCCUACUCUGCAUAGAAAAUUAGAUCAAAAUCAAAAUUAACCUAAAUCCCCAAUCCUAACUCAAACCCUAGAUGAAGAACAACAAGGAUACUUCUUAGACAUAGUUACCAAAAACUAAAACUUGGGUCAAUCGAUUCGACGAGGGAAAACACAGAAAAUGGCGAAAAGAAGGGAUUAUGGAGCAGAAAAUCAGCGUUUUAUGAGUAAAAUUGGUGGAAUUAAGGCAUGAAAACGUACCAAUACAAAGGAAUCGAUCGACAAGUCGGAGAUGGGGAUUAGGGUUUGGGAAUUUGGAUGCGAUCUCGUUUUGGAUUCGGGGAUUUGGGGUGGGGGGUGAAGGGUCGAUGGUUGCUUCGUUCGAUCGAAAUUGACCACGUGAGAAAAGGAGACGCAUAUGUGAGGAAAAAGAACACAAAUCUAAAUAAAUAAAUAAAUAAGGUUGGGAGGUUGAGUUUGGUUGGGGUUAUCCUGACCGUCAGAUUACCGAUAAUCAUAUCAGAAUUACUGUAUAUGAUUUAUCCUGUACGUAAUCUAUUCGAUAUUAUAAUAUUAUAAAAGAUAUAAAAUUAUGCCUAAAAUAUUAUUGAUGGGAGGGGGUGUAUUUUGGAUUACUAAAUGCGGUGUUAAUCUUGCAUGUUACAUAAAAUUACAAGUUUAACCCUCCAACUUCUGAACCCUUUCAAUACGUUAUUUCAAAAUUUUUAAUUAAAAAUUUUGAAUUAUUAAAUUUUAAAUUUAGAAUUUCGAAUUUUAACUUUCAAUUGUCAAAUUUAAAUUUUUAAAUUUUAAAUUUAUAUUUAUAUUUAACUUUUAGAUUUUAAAUUUAUAAAUUUCAUAUUUAUAUUUUAAAUUAAAAUAUUAAAUUUUAUAUUUUUGCUCAAAUUUAAAAUUUAAAAUUUAAAAUUUAAAUUAUUUAAAUAAUUAGUAAAAAAAUAAUAUUUGUAACAAUAAAAAAAAUUUGUCAAAUAUGGGUAAGAACAAUUUUGAAAUAGUCUAUAUUUUAUUGUUAAGAUUACUAAAUUUUAUGGACUGAACUAAAUAUAAUAAUAUUAUAAACACUGUAAUUCAACAUUAUAUUAUUGCAUUAAACCAAACAAGCUUACGCAGUAUCAGUAGUAAUCUCAUUUUGAAAUCCAAAACGCCUGGAUAUAUUGAAAUACUUUAUAGUGUUACAUAAUUUGAACCAAACACGCACCGAGCGAGAAAUGUAUCGAACCCCCUCAACUAUACGGAAUUGGAAAUUGGCCCUUAAAACCUUUUCCUUACCACUUUUUAAUUUCAAUUUAAAUUUAUUUUGAACUAAAUUAUUUGAAUUAAAUAAAUUGAGAAUUUUAGUAAUGCUAAUACUUUAAUUAUUAAUAAAAUCACACUUCCUUCGGCUAAGAAAUGGAAAAGAUGUGAAAUUUGAUAAAUCAACGAACUAACUAUAAAUUUCUAUUUCAAACAAUUAAAUGACAGUCUCAUUAUUAUACCAUAAACAUAAACAAUAAUUACCAAACCCCAAAACACUAUUUUUAAACCUUAAUCUUUAUUAUCAUGUCCUAAAUCUUAAACUCUAAUCUUUCUACGUGUGUAUGGCAACACAUCAACAAUAUAUUUGGAUACUCCAAAGUGGAAGAUCCAUCACAUUUUUCUAUGGCUAAAAUACAUAAAACUCUCAUACCAAAACUCGAUUUUUCACUUUCUCCCUCUGUCAUUUAAAAAUCUACACUUUGUCCCAUUAUAAAAUAAAAAAUAUUCACUUUAUCUCCUGCCGUUUGUAAUCCGUUAAAGUUCCGUUUAUAAAAUAUUAUUAUAUUUUUUUAUGCCAAAAAUGUCUUCAGUCUUCUCUCCUGUGAACAUGAUGAGGGGCAAAAUGGUGAGAGGCAAAAUGAUCAUUUUAUCAUCACAGUUCACAUCAUACCCUUCGUGAACAUUUUUUAUUUUAUAAGGGGACAAAAUGUAGGUUUUUAAAUGACGGGGGGAAGUGAAAUCAAAUUUUGACAGGGAGAUUUUAUGUAAUUUAGCUUUUUUUCUAAUUAAAAUAAUUUUUUUUUGACAAU
rnacentral:lncRNA from 1 species